AGCGCUACUAGGAGAACAAGGAGCAACAGAUAAAUAGCUGUUUUUAUAUCAAUUCCCGAGCCCGUUCUUUCAUUUAUUCGUGUUAGUGAAUAGAGAAGUGGUUUUUUCAGUUAUUGGUUCAUAGACACUUUGGAAGUUAUUGCUUAGUUUCUCUCUCCGUUGUUGUUUACUCCCUGGGUUCUUUCAGUUAGCUCAGUGUUCUUAGCUCCUUUGCAGGUUAGUUGAUCUUCCCACCAAUGAAGCCUUUCAGACACAAAUCAAAAAACAGAUGGAAAAGCUAAGGAUAAAAGGAUGCAUGCUAGAAGACUUUGCACGAAUGGGUAAGUAUAUGUUCAGAUGCCUGAUUACCAAAGAGAUGCCUUCCUAAGCUUCAAUUAUUAGGCAGAAGCAAGAUGCCAUCGCCGCCCUUAUUAAGUUGAGCUUCCCGCCUAACCUUAGAUAGGGAGAAAAGUAAAGCACGAAGAGUUUCCGUGAUGUGGCGAUGUUUUCGUUCGCCUAUUCAAAAGGCAAUUAGGCCCCAAUUAGACGGAAUGGAAGGUGCGGAUCCUAGAUUCGAAGUUGAUGAUUCGGCUUACGAUUUGGUUAGUAUGGAAGUGCACCGCUGUUUAGCCAGAUAUUCUGAGUUCAUUAUAGGGCCUUUCGGCCUCACUCCUUUCCCGAAGCAGCAUUCCCAUGAGUUAACCAUUGAUCCGAGCAAGAAGAAAAGUCCAGCUUUGUGGCGGCGAGAUAUAGUAGCGAUGCGCGGGUUUCGAAGCUAGGGUUGUAGUUGGAGUCGAGAAAGGCAGAAAGGUGCUUUUCGCCGGUAUUUCGCAGAGUAUCAUUGAAGCCUAUUUGAGAUUGUUUUGAUUACUGCUUGCCCGUAGACUUCUGGGGGGUAAUAACUUCCUUGUCCGAGCGAAAUAGCCCUUCCUUAUCUUACGUAAGCUUCAGGUAAAGGGAAUACAAUGUUUUAGGCUUACCCCCUUUGUGGUAAGGCAGUCUUUAAGGUUAGCCUUAUUUUGAGUGGAGGGAGUUAUUCGUAUUACAAGGGCAGGUACCAUCUCGGAUUACCUGAGUGAGACAAAACCUCUGGAGAGUAACUGCCUUUUGGUUCUGUCAAUACAGCAACUCGAGACCUAAUAAAGAAGAGAACUUAGCAGAGGAAACUCAAUCCUUAGUAAGCAAAGCAGGGUGAGUUAGGUCUAGUGAGUUAGGUCUACUCGAUCAGAGGAAAGAGAAGAGGAGAGAUUCUACAUUUGCUAUGAGCCAAGUAACUCCUAAACAAGACCUACUUUAACUCGUAACAAAUACGCCAUGCAACUAAUCACGUUGCGACCAAGCUUAGGCGUAAGACUGCCAAGUCACGUAUAAUUAUGAUUUCGCCAAUUCCUGUUUUUGGGGCCGCUUCCUAUAAUUCCUUCGAGUUAUAACAAUAGAUGUUUUUGGGGCCGCUCCACUCUUUCUAUUACAAUAUAUGCUUUCAGCGGCAAACAAGCUGUGUUUUGUUACUAAGGCAAGGGAGUUCGAGCAAACAGUGUUUAGUGACUUUCUUCUAUAAUAGGUGUGGAUAGCAUAAAUGAUUUGAAAGAAGCAAGGAAACAAGCGCAGUGACGGUUACCAUAAGAAUCCGAAUGACGGGUAGCUGAAGAAGAAUCAGAUAGGGCGUUAGCCAGUUCUUUUGGACAGAUAGGGCGUUAGCCAGGGUUAGACAGAUAGGGCGUUAGCCAGCAGAACGAACAAGUAAACAAGUAAUGGCUGUGAGGUUGUGACUCCAAUAAGUAAGUUUAGAAGGAAAAGGGAAGCAGUUUGUAUGGUAUAUUAUUGAGUUUGUCAUUUCACUCUUUUAUUAUAUCAUAUGAAAGCUCAAUUGAAAAUAGGUAUUGGUAAGGGUAAGGGCGCUAACCUAUCAACAAGCUUAGAGCGCAAAGGGGAAAGCCAAUAACUAAACUCUCGUAGACAACACAAGAACCGAUAGAGACUCAACUGCUAAACCGUGUCGUGUAGUGCCCUUCUCUUCUGGAACUCUACUGAAUGAAGUAAACAGUACUAAGCGCUUCAACUGUGCCCUUAAUUAAUGGGCUUAAGGAGCUCCUUUUUUGCUAUCAAAUAUCUCUUUCUCUCGUGCGCAUAUCUAAUAGGUAGGAAUGGAACUCUCUUGCACCUAGGAUAGAGAUUUGUAAAGUGUGUGUCGAACUACUUCUUCUCGAACAGCUGAUUAUCGAGUUGACUUUCUUCUCGUGAUACGAGCUUCUUCCCUUGCUUACCUAUAUUGAAGUAAAGUAAACAGUUCCCUUGCGCUAACGAUAACAGAAUCUCUCUAUUGCUUGCUCGCAUCGCCUUUCAUUCCCAGAGACCUAAGAGUCCUACUUAGAUUCCUUCUUUCCCGCUUCCUAUUGCCUUAACCUUGUAGUGAACUGAACCUUGAUACGGAUCUUGAAACUCUCCAACUGUCCCUUAAUCAGGUGUCUCUGUCCUGCAAGUCAUUUGUAGAGGGUUCGGGUCAAUAGCAAGUAUAAGCUGGUGCCUCACAUUCUCUUAUAGGCCGAUAUUCUUCUCAAAGAACUCACUAACCAUAGUCACUCGCCUUAGCACUUGUUCUUAUGCGCAUGUCAUUGAAUUAUGGAAUAGAGCACAGCUCACUGACACUGAAUCAUUGAAUUGAAACUCUGAUUCCUAUGAUUCUCUAAUGACAAUAUUCUAUGGAAUUAUAUACGAAACUAUAGCCUUCGCAUGAAAAAGGUGAACUCGACACUGAUGUUAAUUGCCUAGACUUCGCCCCCAAAGAAAUAGACUGAUUCACUUCCCCGCCUUAGCUGACUUUUGAACUACUGAUUCUAUCUCUUUUGUCUCCUUUCUUCGCACUGCUUCCCUAUUCUUUGAAAUCUGCGGGCUGGCUUCCCUUUCUUAUGAAUCUGACUGAAAAGUAUCCUGCGUUACUUCCGAACUCCCUUCCUGUUACUGCGGAUUCUUCUCGGCUUCUAUCUACUACUUAACAAUCACCUCCGGAGACUUCCACUCCUGCACAAUUACCUAUCUUUCUGGUUGCUUUUCUCACUUCCUCUUCCACUUUUUUCCUACCGAUUUCUUCUUUUGCGGAUCUUUCCCUUAGCUUUUUACCUAACCAGCAAAUACCCUAGCCUAGUAACUUCAUUAAACAAGUAAGUCCACCACCCUGAAACAAGAAACUCUGAUUGGGUGGAAUUGCCUAGAAACACCUUUACCCCCGGCUUCUUAUCCCCAAGGACUCGUUCUCACCAGGAGUAAGAGCACCCCCAACCCAUGAGCUUAGCGCUUCAAAUCCAGUACUUUCUUCUUUCCCUGAACUGCUAGCCAGUACUUUCCAACAUACUAUAAGGGCCUAGACUCCACUCUCACUGCGACUUAAUAUAAGGGCACCGAGUCAACUUAUCAUUCUUAUAUUUCUAUUUCCACUCCUGGACUACUCCACUGGUGAAACAGGACUACUACUUAAGACUUUAGAUCAGUAGUUUUAUACCUUCAUUAGGCUUAUCUACUUCUCCAACUUAAUAUAAGGGCCUAUCCUCGAAAGUAACUUAUUGUUUCCCACUGUAGCAGUAGCUUGGCCCACUUGUUGAUUACCCACUUGCUGUUGACCUUACCUUUCGAACGAACAGCUUAUGCGACUGUUCCUGCUGAGUAUACUGAUCCAGCUUUAUAUCUUAAUCCCGCUGAUGAUCCAUAUCCAUCUUAUGCUUAUGUACCCGAUCCCGCUUAUGCUCGAGUAGACUUAACUGGCACUGCAUCUAAUCCAUCUCCUGAUCCCAACUUAUGAUCUAGCUGAUGAUUCUGUUGCUUUAAUCAUUUCAUUUAAGGAUUUCAUGAUCCACCUCUGAAGCUAAUGCGCUUGGAGUAAGGUUUCAAGUUCGUUCAUUACCUUGGUGGUCUAUACAACCUUCUUUAUCUUAUCUUUCUACGGUUCCUUUCAACAAAAGCACCGACACAAUCAGUGAAGUUUGAUCAAGGGUAGUAAAGGAAGUAGUGUUGUUUUCAUCGCCAGCUAAGUUCUUCUUAUUACCCCCCUUAUAUACAAGAGGACUCCCUUAUUUAUGUUAACUCAACUCAGAAAGGGCUUGUGGGGAUCUACUACUUGUUCGAGCGAGCUAUCAUUAAGUAAAGGAACUAUACUAAAGAAUAAGCUCUAUAUUUGGUAUGAAAUGGAUCAUAGGUGGUUUUCAGGUGAUUUAUUGCUUGAUAGGGAAUUUUCCGUUCACUGAGUUUACCGCGACUCAAAAAAAGGUGUUCAAGCAGCCAGUGCGAGAAUAAGCAUCGGCAGGAGCAGGGUUCUGGUCAGAAUCAAUUAAUUCAGAAGAUGGGACAGGUCCCGACUGCAGACUAGUAACUACUAAUGACCAAACAAUACUGGAUCUGAAACUCCGAAUACUUAUUACAAUUCCGGUUUUUGUUAGGCUUUACUGGUUAGGUGAAUUCGGUGCUUGUUAGUGUUGGUGCAAGAAAUAUUAUACAAACCCCCAUAAAAGUAGAGUUUAUGAUCCCGAUACAGCUCUUGCAGAUGAUCCGUAUUCAGCACCUGACACUGAUCCUUAUCUUUCACUGUAAACUACUUUCCCUUUAGCUCCGAGUUGAAGUUCUAGGAGCAGAAGUCGGAGCAGAAAGAGCAUCAGUUGUUGGUGUUGGCACAGUAGCAAGGAAAGGAUAGUUCGAUCUACCUGUAGCUUUCGAUCUACCCGUUGCGCAAAAAACAAGUCAAGUUGACAGCCUUAGUGAGCUGGUUUAUGCUAGUUAGCAAGUAUAAUUCUAGUGAAAUCCUUGUUGGCCCCGAGAGAGAGAAGAAUCAAAGAAUCCAAUAAAGGUGUUGAAGCGCGGUAGGGCUGCUCUUAAAAACAAAUUGGAUGGAAAAUGACCCAUAAAACUCCCCAUUGGUUGUUCGUAGACAUUUGAUCCUGAUAUCUUUGCUUUAAGCUCCCGUUGUUAGUGGUAAAGAACAGGAACUCGGUAUUUGAAAGGAAAGGAUGCUUUGGCGCUAGAAGUAGAAUGAGAGGAUUGCAGUGCAGUAAUGGAUUUGAGUGCUGAAGCAACUAAUACUGCAAAUAAAGAAUAUCUCUCACCCUUACCCGCCUAUCACAUAGGAAUUGAAGAGCUCACUGAUGCUGAAAACAAGAACUCAACGUAAGCCGAUGAAGACAGGGUUCCGGUCUGAAUCCGAAGAUUAGAUACUUUUAUUCGGUUAAGUAGGCUGUAGCUCCGUAGCGUAGAAGUCGUAGUCCCGCUCGCUUCUCUCAGUAAUGACCUGAAUUGCCUGUUAUAGUAGAAUCCCGAGCCGUGGUUGUUGUCGACUCAAAAUAAGCCUAUUCUUCAGCCAACACCGACCCGUACUUCGUUCAGCGCACUAACUAUAAGAAUGAGGGAUUUGGUUUGCCGCCCUAUAAGAAUUAGGGUAUCGCCUCAGAUUCUCUAAUUACCUGUGCUGUAGUGUAGUUCGAGGUCAAGCAGAAAGUGGGCAAAGCUACUGCUACAAAAGGCCAAGCAACGUAGCUAUAAGAGCAUUCCCUACUAUCUGAAAAGACAGAUAAAGAUUCAGAAAGGGAUUCCACUGAAACAGCUUCCUCACCCGCUUCAGCGCAACAAAGCCUUUACUUUCAGAAGGAUCCGAGUAAGACAAGAGGGAUAGAUCUAGCUUCUACUCAAUUCUUAAAGGAGAAGGAGCUAAUUAUGGAUAAGGGCUAUCAGAGGUUUGCAAAGGGGAAGAACAAUUACAGGCAUAAGUAGGAAUAUCAGAGAAGAAGCAAAUUACUAUAAGUCCCCGGUAUCCAAUUCUAAUCCCGGAGUUGAACACCGGAGAAGAGCACCGCUCCCUUUGCUCUUAAUAAUUGAACAGUAACUCAGACAUUCAAACCAUCUCCUUAUUCGAAAUCAUGCAUUUCUAAGUAUCUCAAUUAUGGUCUAAAGUCUCUUCUCUUGCCGGGUUAGUUGGAUAACCUCUGUGCUCAAGUCCUGCAUUUGAUUGCCGAGUGGAAUCCCUAGUGGAGUCUUCCAGUCUUGUUGAGGAUGUUGGUGCUGCCCCUGUGAAAGUGAGCUUGAGAGGGGAGGUGGGCGAGGGGAAGACAAGAAAAGAAAUGAUCAAAUUGGAUUAUUCCUGUUGUGUUCUAGGCCUUGGCCAUACUAAAUGAAUUAUUAUCUUAUUAUUAAAGAAACUAUAUUUCACUAGGGUCGGUAUGAAACUACUAGAUGAUUUCCCCAACAAGUAUACGAGUAGUUGAAGAAUCAAGUAAAGGCUUUGAUGCGGGGAGAAGAAGCUAGAUAUGGAGUUGGGUUGGAGAAAGAAGAUACGUUCCUGUACAGCACUGUAGGCUAGUAAUAACAGAGAUAAGACAUAAGAGAGAGCAAGUUGACAGAGGUAUACGGAUGCAGGUUUCACGUCAUGGUGAUUUAGUGGUUGACUUAAAGAAAAAGAGGUGGUUCGGUGUCCUUACCGAGUACCCGAGAUCAGAAACAGUAGAAGGAAAGUUCAUUGUUGUUGGCAAAGGUCAACCAGCAAAACCAGUAUAGAUGCUCUAGUGGAAUCCAUUACUAUAGUAUAGUAUGUCUGUCCUUACCUUAGUCUGCCCUGAACCCUCCAGAUUGGGGUAUCAAAUGUAUUAUUUCUCAUCGCCAAGAUGACAUCUCAUUUAAUGCCCCUAAUAGAGCAACGAAUUCAUUUGGAGUGUAUAGCAGCACCCAUGUUCCGUUUCCGACUCACAACUCUCUAUUUCUCCCCUACUCAGUUCUAUUGCUCUACUCCGGUUAGGUCUAACUAAUAUACUUGACUUUACCGACAGAGUGGAUCUUUGAUUCUUCUUUCUUUAAUACAAGUAAUGAACUUCACCUUGCCCUGAAGUGUCAGCAGCAGUUAGAGUGGAAUCAGUCUUUGUUGGCGCACAAAAGUACAAUGAUUAGUUUGAAUUGAUUCAUUUAAUAUAGUUACUAUAGUAUAGUAGAAUGUAAUCUCACCUCGCUUGACUCACUUAUUGAAUGAAGCUUAAGCAGGAAAGAAAGAUGGGAAGUUAACCGGGAAAACAAACAGGGUUGCGCCGCCACUACGCCAGAGGAAGAUUUACGGGUAUCAAACUUAGGAUAAGAAUGAAGUUAGAUGAGAAAGCUGUCAACUAUUCUACUGCUUGACCUGCUCUUUACUAUGAAUUUGGUUAGAAUGGAUAGUAGGUUUCCUGUUUUCAUUCAUAGUUGCUUGUUGCAUUAUUAUUAUUAUUAGGCGCACUGGAGCUCAAGAAGUCACUACAACUACUGGCUCUGCUCUAGUUUCAGUGCUCUAGCCCUUAAGUAAUUGGUGAGCAGGAUAAUCAGUAGUUGCAAGAGAAGCAUCCGAGGCUGUUAUCAUCACAAAGGAAAGGUGGAAUUCUUAUGAACUACAGUAGUAUACGUAGCGGCGUACCUCUUAGCCAGAGAAUGAGCAAAGUCAGCAGCAGAAUGAGCUAGGUCAGAUAGAUCUUUGUAACCAAGGGAAGGAGCUGGGUCUCGAUUGGACCACUACAUUCAGGGGCAUUUCCACUAGUUUGGGCUGUAAACCAUGGCUAUCCGACCUCUGCUCUUACUUACUUAUUAAGGCAGUGCUUUCCUUCCCUAGUGCUCCUAUCCUGUUAAACUCUGGUAAGCUAUCUAGUUCAUAUGAGAGAGAUAGUCGUCCCUUCUACAGAACAAGCAACGGAGAAAGAACUAUAUAAACUCGGUUCCACACAUAAUGGAUGUGCCUAUCCAGUGUUUUACUCUUUGCAAGACAAGAAAGAUUCCAGGUUGCCUAUCCAGUGUUUUACUCGGCAGUUUACAGUGAAAUCUCUUCUGAAAAGGGGAGUUCAAUCAGUAUUAGCAAAGGUUUUAAGGGAGUUUGCUCACCUUAGUUGCAAGGGUUUUAAGGGAGUUUGCUCACCUUAGUUGUCGUAUAGAGAAUGGAAUCUAGCUCUUUUCUUUCUCAUGCGGAGGAGCGGGAAGAUUCGAUUUACCAGAGUCUAGGGCAACGGCUUUCAAUCAAAGUAAUAAGUGAGUUUGGAAGAAAAGAAUCAGAUAAAGAUCUUUAUGUGUAUUAGGAAGAGCUCGAAAUCAAUGCGUAUAGGUGUCAGUCAAUGCCGUAUAACAGCCUAACGGGGGCAAUAUAGGGAAAAGACAGGACUCGUUCUUAACCUCAACUCUAUUCUUUUGAGGUCUUGCUGGGUUGAAGAAGGUACCCGGUAUUUAGGGUAAUUCCCACAUUUUCUUAGUGUAUAGAGGAAGGAUAGUUCUAGAUUCUAAGAUGGAUCAGGAUUUGUUCGAAGGUAAGGUUCAGGUGAUUGUCUUGACCGGCCAAGCCACUGCUGUUCGGGUGUUGAGUCAGCUUCCCCCUAGCUUGGGCAAUAAGAUAUUCGAUUUCUGCUUUUAUACCUUAAUGAGAAUCCGCCUUCUUUUCUUUUUCCGACAAUAACCUUCAUUGCAGCUGACUUUAGUGGUUCUGUUUCGAGGUAUACUGAAUACGAGUUAAGAGACUAAGCUAGAUCAGAUUCAAAAGAUGGGGCAGCUGUAUCCUUAAUCUCUGCCAAACACAUGAAACUACCUUUCUUAUUGCAACGAGUCCGACUGCAAGAAUUCUAUACCAUAUGUGCUCGAUAAUAUGAAAAGGUGGAGGACGGGCAGUAUACAAAGGACAGAGGUGAACAAGGGAUUACUCCUAGAAAUGGCUUAGUGUUUAGGUUGUGCACGUAAAGAAAUGCCAAACACCCUUGAGUUGCACUUUUCGUCCCUUUUCUUUUGGCCUAUAUCAAGUUUACACCAUGGAAGAGGACUGAGUUAGUAGUAAUCAAAUAGCCCUUGUUCCGUUUAAGGCUCCAUAAUACUAUACUUUAUAUGUGGAAUAUAUCUGGAUCGAGACAUCAAAAAAGAAUAAGGGUUCCGGCGCAACUACUUAAGCUUGGAAAAACACCCUACAAAGACACACCUUCCUAUAGCUUAGCCGAUGAGAAUCCAGCAAGUAUGAAUAGGAGUAACAGCAUUGAAGGCAGGCGCUCUAACAUUCACAACACCUGAAAGAAGGAAAGGAAACGACAACCCCCCACCCAAGUAGGUCAAACAAAAGAAUCACUCCCUCGCUUCUUUAAGAAUAAGAAAUCAUUCUUUUAGCUUACUAUCAUAUAAGAGGUGGGCAGUACCCGCAAUGGGAAGAAGAAAGAAUGGCAGGAUAUUUCAGAUAGAAAAGCAGACAAGGCUAGAGAAGCUAGUAAUUUGACUCGUCGAGUUGUCCAGACAAUAGAACUUCCUUUUCUCCAUAAAUGCGGUUUGAUGCUUUUUAGCUUAGGUGUUUCUUUGAUCCCGUCCCUCGUAACUGUCUUUGAUUUCUCUAGGAAAUAGAGCCUUUCGCUCGUAAUUGAGCACGUGAAUAAGAUGCUCGACCAACGGGAUAUGGAGUUUUCAGUCUAUAUUAGGAUUUAACAAUUAGCAAACCCUUUCUUCUUUACAGUACAGGCCUGUGAACUCGGGGCUGUUAAACAUAAAAGAAUCCUACACUAGCCUAUUUGAGAAGUGUUCGUUCUACUUGAUCAUAUUUGACAACAAGAUAACAAGGAUAAAAGGUCACAAAGAGCGCGCUUACGAAAGCCUUCAAGAAAUCCAUUCUUGCAGCUACCAUACAAUACUUGCGAGAUUAAUUCCUGCUGCCCCUAGGAGCAAACACUCACUAUUGGAAAUUAGAAGCUCAUCUCUAUCUCUGGAUUCGGCAUAAUCAAUGGCACUAACCACACAAACAUAUGUUUAGGAAGGCUCAAUGGGUCCUAUCCCCUAUAGUAGUACGUUGGAGUGUGCGCUUUUGUUCAGGAUAGUAUAGUGGUAGGGCUGGACUCGUGCUUACCCCGCCUAUCCACCAUGCACCACAAUAAAAUAGCUAUCGGUGAAUUGAACUAACAAGAAAAGUCAGUUAUUAGGCUGAGGCAUAACAUGUAGAGGAAUAGGAAUAAGGCUUCUUGCCGGACUCUGUCUCCUUCUCUGGUCAACAUAGAGUAAGUACCUCUGAUUUCUCUGAUGAUUCGGCUUAAUGAAAAUAGAACUAGUAGCUCCGGUAUAGGGAAGGUACCGAAGCAUAUAUACACUGAUUGCUAGGAAGAUGGAUCCUGCCAUCAGGCAACGGAUGUCGGUCGGUACUCGUACUCGCUCUGAUUUCUAAUAAAUAAUAAAUAAAGAACAGGGCACUGAGAAUCGUGCUUACUUUCUUUGAUUGACCCUCCGCGCCAAGACUUGAAUAGAUUGAGUUCGCAGAUUUCUAUCCCCACGUUGGUAAGAAUCCCUGUCAUAGCAACAGCAGCCCUGACAUAAAAGGUAGGUAGAUAUCUAUUUGCAUUUCCUUGCCUUUUCUUAGUCUGCUACCACUGAGGAAAUUGCCCAAGGUUUUGAUCCUUAUCCUGGAGGUACCCCAUCUUUUCCUUUGCCACUGAGAGCGAGUUCAUUAUUCCGCAGCGCACCCUUUGUUUUGAUUGAUCAGACCGGUCAUAGCCCAUUCGCCCUUUACCUCCAAUUCCAAGUCAGAGGGGAACAUUUGGAUUCUUGAGAAUUCAUUUCUAUAACGUGGGGAGAACUGUAUAGGGAUGCGAGGAACCUUGCUUUCAGAUCGCAAGUCCAAUAGGCGGUCGAGGUCUUCUAUCUAAUCCAUUACCAUUGCUUCUGGGGAAAAGGGAUAACAAACAAGGGAACGAUAGGACAAUCUAUGAUGCUAGUUUUGUCGUUGCCCGGUACAAGUCAAGUUUUGAAAGUAUAAGAGAGAAUCACAUUGCUAACUUACUGCUAUUAUCGAUAUUCGAACAUGAACUCACAUGCUUUAACUCAUUCAGGAAGCUCUACCUCAUAAUAGGCUAGCGGUCCCACGGAUGCCAAAAACAUCUUACUGACUGCUUAAACUCUGGUAAGCUAUCUAGUUCAUAUGAGAGAGAUAGUCGUCUCAUCAUUGGUGAUGGAUCAGCACUUCCGAUGACUCAUGACUGACACACUCUCGAUUCAGGUUCCGUUUUAUUGCAGGGGAUAAGUUGGAUUCCAAAUGUGUUAGUCGUACUAUCCUCACCAAAUAAGUAGUAGAUUCCGAGUGCGACCAGCUCCUUGAGUGAAGGGCGACUUAAGUGCAUUAGGCCGAUGUCAAUAAAGAUGUAGAAGAAGAAGAGAUGUUAAAGUAGUGGGCCAGGCCAAGCUACUCGGAUUUCUCAAAGUAGCAAUAAUCCCAUCCAUUACUCCUUGAUAGGCUUUUAGAUGCUUGUAGGCCUCGCGUACCCAUUGGCUUUGUAGAUUGCGGAGUCAUCAUGGCUAGGUUUAUGAAAUCCUUACUUCAGGAUCGUAUCAGAGAGAGAAGAGACCCGAGUCGAGAGCCGAAACGAGUGCGAGCAGCAGAGAGAUCCAUACUCCUUAUACUAAAGAGAUCCAUACUCCUUAUAUCUUUGAAAAGCGUUUCCUUUGUUAGCUACCUAUUACUUCACAAAAUGGGUGGAAGCAGCGCCAAUGACAUGACAGAAGUAACCACAACAGAAAGGUCAACAACACUAAGUACCUUCAUAAGCGUUACAAUAUAAAGAAGGAUAUGUUCAUAUAUAUAAAGAAAGAAUGAAAUACCAAGAAUGAAACGAACAGACAAGCAACGGUCCCAGAGCAAGACGUUCUAAAAGUGUUGUAUACGAAGCGAGAAGGGAGCACUUUUCUAAUGUCCACGGAGCGAGUCAAGAAAACAUUAGAUUACAGGUCGGGUUAUAGUCUUAUGGUUGAAGUUUAUGGAAGUGAUUGUGUUGUCCGGGGCAGAAUAUCUUAUUUCUUAAGCUAGUGCGGUGCUUGUUGGUGCUUGUUAAAGUCCUAAUGCGGGGCGCGACAAGAGAUCAAAUCUGAGAUGCGCUACAAGAGAGAUAGAAUGAUUUGUUUCAACUUACCAUAUAUUCUAGUUGAAAGGAUGGGUUAAGGUCCAGGCCCACUAAUAAGACGUCGUGUGUAAGCAUCAGCUUCAACAAACCGUGUUGCGCUUAAGGAGUUAUGUGAGUUUGGCGAUGUUCUUAAAAGAUGCCCUUGUGCCUUACGGAGAGGAUGAAUCUUACCUACUUCCCCAUAUCGCCUCUGCUACAGUAUGAUGCUUCUCUAGAGGUUUCGCUUUCCAUUCCAUUCUUUAGGUCUGGGAAGAAUCUAUAGGUGCAUAACUUCUAACAAAGGGAAAGCCUAUUACUUUGCAUAUCCAGCUCCAAUUUAUGAUCAGUAUCAAGCGAGCUCUUAUUACAAAUGUCGAUGCUCAACACGAAAUCCCUUUCUUGGAAAUCCUUUUGCUUAAAUGAGACUCUCCACUAAUAUAGCAAAACGGUAAUAUAGUUCUAAAAACGGGAAUUGCACUUACAAAAACAAACAAGUGCUUCCACUUUAUUAGCUUAUGAAUUGAACGACUUUAUUUCUACCCUAUUCUUUCUUAUCUUUUAAUUGAAUGAUCAACUGCCUAUUUGGAUGUUUGAGUAGCGCUAACUGAGUUUGACAUAAGGUACGGUACGAAAUGUUUGAUUUGACUUCUUUCUGCUUAGGAGUUAGAAGCGCUAACAGAGUUUAUAGGUGCAUUACUUAAUUCGAGAGACAAAUGAAGUUCAGAAUUCGCUAUUAAACAAGCAGACUCCGUAGUCACUUAUACUUACUUGUGAAAUUCUUUGUAGUAACCUAUUCCCGGCCUUAUGAAGAUUGAUUCCAUUCCUGCUUCAUUGUGGCGGAUAAAAGAUUGAUGAUUGUGUUGCUGGGUGCGAGUGCAGUGCAUGUUCUCCUAUGAGUAAGUGAAAGUCAAGUCCAAGUUGCUUCCACUCAAAGUUAACGGCUCUAAAAGUGCUCCUUCAUAGAUUCCCCAUGUUAUUAUAGAAGAUAGACUAAGCAAUCUGAUAGGAAGAUAGACUAAGCAAUCAAUCUGUGAUAGACAAAAAUCUGAAGCGUGAGAGAGUUUGCUUAUUGGGGCUAGAAAGAGUUAAGGUCAUUGUGCGCGUAAGAAAGGUAGGAAACAAUAGAGCUGGAGAAGGAAAGUCCACAACAUCAUAUGAAUACGCAGUCCGAGCUGUCUUUGUUGGCUUAGGGCAAGAAUAAGACAAGUUGUUGACAUGUUGGUUACUAAGAUGGAGAAGUAGUGCAAUGAAAGCUGUCAGCAAGCAUAACAAAUAACAGGGCAUGUUACCUCACUGCCUAAAGCUUGUUCCGGGCUUAUUCCUGAAAGAGAUAUUUGGCCUUGUUCCUUCCAAAGCUAAUUAAAGCACAAGCACUCUAGAGAUAAUAUCAUAUUAAAAACCCAACCCACAAAACCAAUUGCUUUUAGAAUGGAAUUGCCCCGUUCAGUUCACACCACACGCUCUCACUGAGAUUACUCUUGGCAUGGCACCUCUUUUCCAAUAAUCUUAUUCUUGAAAACUUCCUAACAGGGCAGAGGGCGUAGUAGAAUAAUUCUGCUAUGAAGCUAAGGUGAAGUAUCAAGUGCUGUAUUUCUUUCUUUUCUUUAUGUUUGGAAGAAGCGUACACGGAACAAACUAGUAAGUCAAUCUGGCAUGGCAGAGGAAAGAGUGUAUUAGCGUUGCAGUGAGGGCGGGGUUCGAAAGAAGGGUGUGUGCUUAGCCUUCACCGAGUAGUGGUCCAAGCUACAGAACAAUAAAAGCUAUGGAAAGUCAAGUAUAAGCUAUCUAUAACAAAGCAAGACAUUGUGCUUAUGUGAGUUGCAAAUAAGAUACAACUCUAAGGUAUAUUUCUUUCUCAAAAUGAACUAGAACUAACGGUACCUAAAUAACCAAUCUUCUCUUAUAAAUUGAGUUUACCAUAACUUCAACUUAGAGAAAGAGGAAAGUGCAAGUGGGUUUAAGGUCAGAAAGAGAGAGUACUUUACUUAGACUUGAAGUUCAUCAUUUCUUUCAUCCAUCUCACGCAGAAGAUCCAUCAGAUUGGCCCAAGCAAGAAGUAAGCUUACGUAAAGGGAUAGAGUUAAGCUAUAGGGUACGCUAGAAACAAGUUCGAAUGCAAGUGAGCCUACCCUAUGUCAACUUCGGAUGGCGCCUAGACUAGAUGGAAGCUGUCCGGGGGAUUGCAAAUAUAGAACCUGUAUGGUAAGAACGAGUGCUGUCCCGUAUCACACUAGGAUGAAACAAGAACAGGCAAUUGAGUGUCCAACAAACCCCUAAAUAAUAAGUUCGAAAGUCAAACACCCGAUACUUAAAAUGCAACUGGAUAGACUCGGAAUUCCACUCGAAAGUCAUAACGAAACUGCAAGGGAACCCUCAAGGGAAGCACUUCAGAAGGUAGGCGAGAAGGAAGUAUUUGUUUCCUAGGCGCAUUAGGAAGUUAUGAAAGUACACUACGGUACGGGGUCUGUUUUCUAGCUUCAUUAACUAGCUUAAUUAUAGAGAGUCUGGUCUGUCUCUUGGGGUACGAGAGUAUUGUCUAGGUUUGGUGAUUGUGUUGCACGUCUGAAAGGAGAGUUCCCGGUCUGAAAGGAUAGGUCUAGAGAUAGAGCUCGGUAAGUAAGGUGUGUUGUCGUGAGAGGGCUUGGCUGCUCUUAUGAAAUUCCAUGAAAUUCUUCUGUAGUUGAGAAUUCUGUGUUAAAUGAUUUAUUUAUUAACUAACGUAUAUGAGCAAGAGAGGGCAGGGAAAUGGUCAAUUCCUUUCUUUUAUAGAAGUAGAGAGGUCCGCGGGAAGUAUCGAAUUGUUGUCAGUAGAAGAGCCGAGUUCAGCAAGUAAUAAUCGCUGGAAUGCUGUUUCAGGGUUGAUGUUUUCAAGUAAGAGUCGCGUGCCACUGUUGCGGUUUCUUUCUUGAUUAUAGAACCUUAUAUAAGGUGGAAUGAAAGUGGGGCCAAGUCCUAUAACUUUACAUAAAGCACUAUCAAUCAGGGUUCUGUUCUUCAACGCCCAGCCAGAGCUGCCCUACCGCCAUGAAUACCCAAAAAAGGAGCAAAUUGGUGCCUUAAACAACGAGAAAUAAGCCAUCUUUUCCUGCCUGUCACCUUGAUUAUGACCUUCUUAAAAGUACUGAGUACGGGGAGUAUCUUAAAGCAACGGAACUCGCAAGGGAAAAACCAUUCGAUAACUUGAAAAGACGGUGCAAAUAUAGAGUACUUCAGAGCAACGGGCGCUAAGAGCAACAAUACAACAUGAAAAACUACAUAAAUACGUUCUAAAAGCAGUUAUAAAUCAUACCUUAGUUCGACUGCUAACGACUCCUCGGGUGCUAAGAAAAAGAAGAUAGGUUAUUUACCUUAGUUGAAGAGCUGGACUUGUAGAAUCAAUUCCUGCCGCCACGAAAACAACACUAGUUUACCCAUACGUUUCUUCUACUACUCUGGUAUAUGGUUGAUUCUCCUACUACAGACAGUAUCCAUCCUCUUGGGGUGGGGCGCCAGUUCAAGUUCCUUUACUAAUACUUAUAAGAAAGCGGUCUUCUACUUUUGUUUCAAGUGUUUGUAUAGCGGCCCUUUAGCGCCAUGGCUUGGUGGGCCCUUAUAGUACUUUCUUUCCCCUUGUAAUAGAGUUCGGGUCGGGUUUAAGUGUUUCUGUGCAAAGAAAGGAUACUUCACUAUCACUUCUGGGGUCGUCAAAUCAUUCUUAUAGUAAGUAUCUGCUUGUCUUCUCUCUUUCGAUAAUCAAUUACAGGUGUUCGAUAGACUCAAUGAAAAGAAUUGUCUGUAUCAGGAUCAUCGGCAGUCUCAAGUCAGUCUGAUUCAAAAGAAAGGGACGCAGCGGUAAGUCAACUAUAAGAAACUACCUUACCGAAGCAAUAGUACGAGUAACACAAGAGCAGGGCCAUUAAGUGACAUGUGCAUUCCUACUUUCCUUUGCCUAACUAUAAUUGAAGCUUCUUCUCUUGAGUUGGAUACAUUCCUCGAACUUAUGAUCCUAGAGUUUACCUUUCCUCGCACAGCUCAUUCUUCCCUUGCAUUAUGACCCCGCUCAUUCUUCCCGGCCAGUACUAUGAAUAAAAUAACCAGGCAAGCAGAGAAGUUGACUUAUCCCUGUAUUAUAGGCUUGAAAUUCAAUUGAAAGCGGGUUGGAUCUCUGGAUAACUGAUUCUUAAGCCCCUCCUGGCAACUGGAACUAUCCUCUUAUCUAGCUCCUGAGUUUGACUACGACGUUCAAUUAUAGUUUGACUACGACGUUCCAUUCUUACAUAAAAUACCAGAGGAGAGUUAACGAGCGGGUUCAAUUCAAUUACUUACUUUUUGGAUUCUUAACAGGUUUGGCGGACUACUCUACUGGUUGGGCAAGGUCAGAAACAUCUUACUUAGAAUUGACUUAUACUUACUAAUGCUAUUGCUACUGUUGCUAAGAAGUCAAAUACGCACUUUCUUGCCUAGUAGCUUAGGAGUCAAAGCAGGAAGAUGAAACAUCCGAAUCUCCCCAUCUUUGAAAUCCAAAUAAGGAAUAGAGGAGCUCGGCCCUUAAGUAAAUUGCAGUAGAAUCAUCAGCUAAGAAACUCUCACUGGCUAUUCAGCUGCCCGGGGUUAAUAAAGAAGUGUUGUGGUAUACUUCCGCAUCUGGUAUAAGGCAAGUCAUAAUGGAAAUAGAGUCCGAGUGGAGGAGGUGGCACCAAUGCUAAAGGAGCAAUAACAGUAUUUGUUGACUUAGGUAGAGGAACAAUAGUACAAAAGAUGAAAUCGGUAUUGUUGCCCGAGAAGAAUGGGGAUUUGGAAGCAGGAAGCUAUUCUGAACAGGAGAUGAAGGUCACUUCCCUAGUGUUGCUGGAACAAUAGCAUUAGGGAGUGAACCCCGUUAGCUGAGGAAUUCUAGUGCCCGUGCCCCGCCUAGGUAUUCUAGAAGGCUAUAAGAUUCUAUUCUAGAAGGCUAUCAGAUUAAUAAGAUCAUAUAUCAUUUAGUAUGUUUUCCUCAAUUACUGGUUGCGAGCGGGAAGGCCGUAUCAGUAAUUGGUUGCUUGGUCACUUAGAUGAAAAACAAGAGCCGUUGAAAACAUUCCAUUCCCUUACUAAAUGCAGGGUUUUCUCCACGAAAUAUAUUCUAUCUUUAUAAUGCAUUAUUCCGAUUCUUGUAUUCUCGUGUCGCUAAAGGGCCGCUCUUUCGCUCCUCCGUUUUAUAGGCAUAAAUUCUUUAAACAACUAUUGACGCAUCCCUUUCCACUCUUCUCUUUACCCUAAGAGCACUUUGCUUCGGAUUGCCCUCCUUCCCCCGCGCACCAGUACUUUAUUAAUAAAAGGAUCCAUCUUUACAGCACUACCACUUUAAGAAGGUAAGGGUAUUUCAACCAACUCUUCAUUACUACAGGCUAAACUCAGUACUUAAGGAUAAGAAUUCCAUUAGUGUCGAUGAAACUCUCUCUCCUUCCUACCUCAACUGUGGACUCUUCUCUAUAUUUAUGAAUACUCUUUCUUUUGAUCUUGCUUCGGCUUCUAGAUACGAUUAGAUUACACCAUUGACUUAAGGGCUAGGCGAACAUCACUCGUAUGAAACACAGAUGCACUUAAUGGUCACUGUAAACUGGAGCUGGCACUGCGGAUUCUUGAGAUUGAGUUGCUGCUGUUGAUGAUCCUUAUGCGGUAAGUCUUAGUAUAUGCUUGGUCCCUACUAUAUUAUAUAUUAUCUUAUAUUAGGAUUACAUUUCGGAUGAAACUCUGGAAACCCUUUCACUCUAUAUAUAAAGAUAUAUUAUUGACAUUCCAAUUCUUUAACAAGCCCCAAGCAAGGACUGUGUGAGAAGCUAGGGGGAUAGUGGAAGCUCCGUAUUAGCAACAGGGGUGAGGUUCAGAAACGUGUAUACAAAGAAAAUAAGUAAACUCACUCCUAAUGAUAAAGUGAACUAUUGGAUUGUCCCGCCUCCUCGUCGCCAGUACCUGAUCCUAAUUCUUAUCAAACAUCCUAUCGAGUCGAAAAGACAGAUUACUUGAUCACUGCCUCAGAUCCAUCUUACUAACCUUUCUACUUCCUCCUCUCUUACUCGCUUACUCCUCUUGUAGAAAAAACUGUCCACUCGAGACCCUUGACUUGCUCAUAACGAACGGGCCAAGCAGACAAGCAACAACCAGUGAAGUUGACCCCGGAGUGGACUAGUAUAGUCUCCUUUUUCACUCACUCCUAAAGUUGCUCACCUAGUAUAGUCUCCUUUUUCACUCACUCCUAAAGUUGCGACUCUCUUCUUGCCCAAACAGCCCUUUCAGACCACAAAUUGUAAUAACUUCUUUUUUUGUUCGAGAGCAGAGCCAGAGCCAGGCCAGAGAGAUAAUGUCAAAUACAGCCCUUCCCUUAAGCGCUCCAUGUAGUGGGCAUUCGAUUCGAGAUGAUCUUCGUGGACAUUUGCUAUGGAACCGUAGUGUUCAGAGGAGCUAGGUGGGAAAGGAAAGAACUGGGAUUUGAACAUGCAGUAAAUGCUAGCCAUUAUGACCCAUCCUAUAUUGGGCCAGGCCAGGAAGCUGAUCCUGAAACUGCCAACAUUCCAUCCGAUAUAGUAGAUGAGAUCCAUACAUCCUGAUUUCCCUAAUUGAAACAUUAUGAAACUGCCAACAUUCUAUCCGAUAUAGUAGAGCCAUAACCCUUCUUUCCCUUAUUGAAACAUUCUAUCCGAUAUAGCAGAUAAGAGCCAUCUACCUAUCUUGUAUUUCCCUUACUUAUUGGUGGGGUUGGUCGGACUUCCUUCAUGGUAAUCAUUAAAGUAGAACAUUCCAGUAAAAGACUUCAUGGUGCGUGCCAAUCAUUCAAAGUGGUGAUCUGGGCAGAAGUAGCUAGAGGCAAACCACUCAGAUGCCCAGUCAGCUAAGCUUCUAUGGCUGUGGGGGGCCGAAUUAUUUAAGUAGUCAGUUUCGGAGCUUAGUCUUAAUUAAUUAUAUAAGAAGUCUUUUGCAUAAGUUAACAUAUUCCAUAAGAUAGAACUUCCUAUAAAACCAACGGAAACUACAUCUCUAUUCUCUCUAUUAUGCCUCUGCCCUUUAAUAAGCAGGGUUUGAUUAUGCCGAGAUAUAUUCGAUUCUUGACUUAUGCCGAGAUAUAUUCGAUUCUUGACUUAAGUAAUAGCUGUGAGAUUACUAAGUAAUAGCUGUGAGAUUACUAAAAGAUAUCCCAUGUGCUCGAGACUCGAGAGAUUCCAUUCUGCACUUCUUGUAGAGUGAAAAACCAUAUUGGUAAGAUAUACUAUUGGAUUCUAUUAGAAGUAGUGUCAAUCAUUGAAAAUCAAAUAUGCAAAUCAAAAUGGUGGAAGGGUUUGGACUAUGCUUAUAGAAGAAGUGACUAAUAUUCCAUUUGGAAGCUUCAUUCCUAUAUUUCCAGAUCAGCCAUAAAGAGUGGGCACUGCUAGCUCGAAGGGAUUAGAUUUAUGUUUAGUCAAGUCACGCGUACCCAUUUAGUAUGAAUAAUAGAAACACAUAUUGAGGAUGAAUAAUGGAAACACAUAUGAAAUGAGUAAAAACACUCCGGACUCCUAUGACUAUAAAGAAUAGAAAGAAGAUAGCGUCACACAUAUAGAAAGAAGUAAACAAUCUCCUUACUAUCCUUAAGGAACCUUUCAUACAAUGAACAGAUGGGUACUGCCGAAGAUUGACUUUUCCAAAUCCAGAAGAUUGUAUAGACCCAAUGGGACCGAAUCUGACCUAAACCCCAGCGCCCUAAGAGAAGGAACUCACGUAAGCACCCGCUUAUAUACAAUACUAGCAUAUUACCCCUGACCCCGGAGAUACAAGACGGAACUCUAUUCCCUUGAAUCACCCCUAUCUUAAAUCACCCCUAUAAUAAUUGAUUGAUGUCGGCACCCCCAACUUGUAAAGAAGGGAAUGAGUGACUAUGACUUUUCAUGUACGAUACUCAACUCCCUUCCUUCUUUAAUAACAUGACUUUUCAUAUACUAAACUCAACUCCCUUCCUUCUUUAAUAACAUGACUUUCGAAUAUAUAUAUCUAUAUGAUACGCGACUAACGGAUAUCUCCUUUCAGAUUCUCACUUUCAGAGUCAAUAGAUUCUCCCACAUGCGUCUAAUCGGUUUCAGUUCCGCUAUUGCUUUCUUUUCGGUUUCAGUUCUGUUAUUGCUUUCCUUGUGGCUUCCUCUCUCUCUCUUUCCUGAUGGUGAAUAACCGCUCUUUGAUUUUAUGUCGGAAGUUACAUCUAAGGGUAAAUAAGAGAUGGCAUCGAAAAGGAGGGCCUAAGAAAGAGUGUCUCGAUAAGGUGCGGAUGCCUGAUUGACCAUACUCUCCUUCGACACAGGAAGGGAAGCAUCGAAUUGCCUUAGUGGGAUAGCUUAGUUCAAUAGUGAGUUCUUAGUGGGAUGGGAUAAGCUUAGUUCAUUAGUUCUUUUCUAGUAGGAAGGAAUAAGGCGAAAACUUAGAGUUUGUUACAGCCCAGCCCUAAACUGAGUUUCAGAACGAAAGAAUCGCACAAUGGUGGAGAUGACCAGAAGCUUCUUAAAGAGAAGGGGCAAAGAAGGUUGCCUUGGAAGUGAUUCAGUUAGAGAGCCGGUUACCGAAAAGCACCUUUAGCUGGGGUCUAUCGAAGACGAAGAGGGGAUUCUUUCUCUCUUCCCCACAUCCACAAGACGAUGAAAAACAAAUAUAUGCCAUUCGAUUCUUUCCUAUUUAAUAAGAGAUGGGAAAGGCAAGGAGCGUCCAUAAGAUAAAGUAUAGAGCUGGAGUGGUUGGGAAGUAGUCUAUAAGAUUGAUUAUAGAUCUCAGGGGUCGGGAAUGAAUUACAGAGGACUGGGUUCAGGUCAAGAAUCCGGUAUACUUUUCUAUGUUGGUGCCGAUAUAAGUUCUUCAAGCUUCAAGUCGGAUGUUAGGUUACAUAAUGUUCUCAGAUGUAUAUUAGAUUCUUUAGAGUGGAGAGUUCUUUUACUUCAUUAUAGAAUCCGUGUGAAACAAAGCAACUCGAGGUGCACUUCCUUUUUCUAUUAACUUAUCCCUCCCAGGCUUUCUGAGACCUGUGCGAGAAAUGCCUUUAGCACGAAUUCGUCAGAUACGAAGCUCAGGGGUGGGAAUCAAUUUCUUAUAAUGACUUUUUGGUUGCUUUUCUAUUCUCUUCUCAUUCUCUAUCUAAUGAUAAAGAGAAAUAUCAAGUGCUCUUUUGUGUCUCAGUGAAGGCCAGGCCCCCAAUCCCUUCUUUAAAUGGAUCUUAUCCUGUGCUUAGGAUCACUCUGCGCCUAUGAACCCGAAAAAGGAGGUCGUUUUGAACUUCUUCUUUCUUCUAAUGAGGGAGAGGUCUCACUUCUUCUUUCUUCUAAUUAGGUCAUUCAUGUCAUGGCUCGCUCAGUUUGCUCGCGGGCGCCCAUUCCAGCCCGAGUUUGUGAAAGGAAGGCUAGAGAGGUGGGUCUCUCCUGAUUGAGUUCGCCAUCGUCCACAUCACUAGAUUCUAUCCCUUGCCCUAACUCUCCAUUUGGUGAGAAGGAAGUCAGCUUCAUCUUUCCACCCCUGCUGUCCAUCUCCGUUUCAAUUCUGCCCUCAUACACCUACUCCUUUCGGACUCGGUAAAGAAGCUAUCAGGUAAUAAAUCAAUCCCGGCAAACCACUGGAAUAUGAUCUUAUCUUGGGCAAACAAACAAUAAAUCCAUUAAUGAAUUUCAGAAAGAAGAGCUUAUUGUUCCAAUUAGAUACUAGAAAGAAUGGCAGAAGGAAUUAGCUAACUAUUACAAUAAACGAUUGAAAGAUUAACCGAUAUAGGAGUAGCCUUCCUUCUCUCUAUCACUCCUUAGAUGGGGAAUUCAUUCCUGAGAGGAAAGCAAAGGAGCUAAGAGCCUCUAUAUAAUUAAGCGGAAGAUUAAGUGAGGGAAAGGAAAGGCGUCGAACAUCUAAUCUAGGACCGGUCGCCUUUCUCAAAGAGUCUUUAUAUGCUAAAGCAUACAUAUACAUUAUUGGGGAAGUAAGGAAGGAACGCAGAAGAUAAGCCCUAUAGCAUUAUUUGGGAAGUAAGGAAGGGACGCAUAAGCCCAACACAAUAGCAUUAUUUGGGAAGUAAGGAAGGGACGCGGAAACCCACCCUAUAGCAUUAUGGAGUUCUGCGGUGAACUAAUCGCAUCAGGUAUUCUUUGAGUGUCGGAAAAACACGAAAAUGGUAAGCUCAGCUCCAGAGUCUUUUCACUGAAGACAGCUAUCAAGUUCGGCUCUUUGCAGUGCACAAGGCGGAGUUGGGACUGUGGUGAAGUCAAACAGUUCGGACGUGAGCUUGGGGACCUCGGCUUAAACCCACUAUCAGGUAUAAUAAAGGGCAGAAGGAAUGGGAAUAUUUUCCACCCACCAGCACCGACUCAGAUAGAGAUAGGAUCAAAUAGUACCAUAUAAGGGUCAGAUUCUCUCUUUCUAGAUCAAAUAGUACUAUAUGUUGGUCAGAUUCUCUCUUUCUUAGAUCACAGAGUACUAUACAGUUGGUCAGAUUCUCUCUUCUAUAAGAAGUGGUGUCAAUCAUUUUCAAUCCAAUAUGGAAUAGUGUAAAAACACAGCUUUGCUUCCCAAAGAGUCGCGGGGGGUCUGGUUCCACACAAGUAUUGGUAUUGCCAUGAAGCGUGGGCACUUAUUAAUAUUUGACUACUAUUCUCUUCUUCAAGCGUAGUGAAAGUCAAUUCCUAAUCCAGAGCACGCGCCUAUAGGCCACUAGUUACUCAGUUCAAGGUUAGCGCUGGGAAUGAAUGUUAACCAAUUGUAGACAGACAUUCUUUUCUUUCGGCUUUUGGAAGAUAGUCAAUAUGGUUAGUUAUGGUGUCCGUGGUCUUGUUCAAAUGCUUGAUUUCUUUCCUUCCGGGGCAGGAGCAAGAGGUCUGGCUGGCUCUUUUCCUGUUCCACUCAAGUCAUACAAUUAUUGUUAUCGGGGGUGCAUCUGUUGGGGGCGUAAGCGCUGUAGUGAGCUCCACUCGAAAGGCUUGCUGCACCAUCUCCUCGGAUUAGAAUUGGGAGCAAUAGUCGUAGCGGUGUAACUGUGACUUUCCUCUUUCAACAAAGCGAUAAGACUACUUUACUUUACUUCCUUUCCUUGGCUAGAAGAUAGUGAGUGCAUUGAUAUAGAUAAGUUGGAAUCUGAUAGUAAGUGCAUUGAUAUAGAUAAGUUGGAAUCUAGUCAGUGUGCCAAAUACUCUGAGCCAUAGCUUACCUCUUUCUUCUUAGACCGGUUCGCACCCAAAAGGAAUUCAUAAUUUGUGUAAGACAAGAGAGGUUCGCAGACGAGUGAUAGCAGUACAUAGGAAUAAAGAGGAUGAGUAGGAGUCUGUCUUCAAGGGAAGGAAAAGACCUAUAGCCCCAAGCCCCUUAUUGACCAAAGGAGAGUCAAAAAAGCAAAAAAGAAGGUGUUUAAGGCGGGUGCUCACGAGCCUAAUAAGCUGCUAUAGUCAUAAGCUGCUAUAGAUAUAUAGUGAAGUAGCUAAAUCCAGUUCAACUAGAGUCGGUGGGAAAAGAAACCCUGUCAUUCAGUUCCAAUCGAAAGGAAACCAUACUACUCAAAGAAAGUGAAGCACGCAAGUAAGCAAGCAAAAUCUUCUUCUUAUUAUGCCGGGACCCCAAUGCGCAACAUGAUACUAAGCUUAUUCCCUUAACAACUACUGGAGUUGGAGCUGGAUCUGUUGCAUAAGAAUCAUAAGCCUACAAUUAGAUAGCAAUAAAUGAGAUAAAUAAGGGAGUUUAGUAUCUUAUAGAAUAGGGUCAAGAAUCAGGAUCCUCAUAACCCGACCUAUAAUAGUCCUUUAACACCUGUAUACCAAUAUAAUGGCUAAUCCUACACAAACAAACUCUAAGGCGCUUAGGAACAAGCAAAACAAAGGCUUUCAACAAGUGAGGGAAAAAGUAAGAUGUUAGGUUACAAAUUCAUUCUAAGGAUUGUUUCCGAGUUUAGAUAGUGAAUUAGCUAUCAGAGUCAUUUCCCCGAGGCAAGCAAAAGAAUAGAGAGUUUUUGACCCGGUCAUUCGAGUCGAUAUUAUGAAAGUGGAACAGGAACAGGCCAACUUGUAGCAUCUUCUAUUGAAACAGCGGAUUCCAGAGUAGACUUUCCAUCUUAUACCGAUGAUCUUUCCACUUAUUCUUUACCUGUUUAUGCUUUUGCCUAUGAUUCUAGAUAGGAUUCUAUUGUCGACAAGAAAGGAGGCGAGAAGUUACUGUUAAUAAGUUCCAGAGGUCUUACCGAUCAGAUCACUACAAGGGGCUGAAGAACGACAUUCUCUACGACACCUUGCUUCAAAAGCACAAAGAGACUCAACUUCACUUGAGAACCUACCCUUACUUUAAUUCCCCGAACCUGUAUCCUUAUCCUUACGCUUACUUGAUACUUAAUUAGGCGGCUACCUUGGAGUUUGAGCUGAGACUAUUCCUUGCGCCAACUCAGGAUCCAUACUAUUCUCCAGAGUGUUCUUCUUCAUACGAUAUAAGUAGAACUGGGCAAAUAGAAACAGAUGACUUUCCAAGCACAAUAACUCUACUAGACUUAACAGGCACUGCCGAUUCUUCUAAUGUUCCUCUAAUACAGAAUACGGAGAUUUUGCUUAUCGCUUCAAAGCCUGUAAGAUGGUAUGUCUGCCCUGAGUCCGCCCUUCACCCUGCUUCCAAACCAAUACUCUGCUACUGACUCAACUGAAGCAUACCUCACUUCAAAGCCUAAGUACUCUCCUUGCACCCGAGCUCAUUCACUUCCCACAUCUUAUCGAGUAGACUGCUGGAUCUUUGACUCUAACUGCUUACUUUCCGGGCUGUAGUAGCUUGUCCAUUAGUAGUUACUUGUCUAGUCGUUGCUUGGCCCUUUCCUCGCAACAAAGCCUGCACUUAAUUCUUUUCUGCCUUGAACCCGCUCCUCAGCAUGAGAACGGAGAUUGAAGUUUACCUUACUUGCGCUUGAAACACCAGUACUUUCUUCUUCAACUCAAAUGGAAAGACCAUAUUGACUUAGUGCAUAAGAUGGAAUUGAGGCACGCACUGAACAAGCAAGGGUACAAACAAGGGCUUUCGAACAAGCAAAUCUACGAACUCCGUUAGCUUCGGUGUUUGUUUACUACUUUUCUAUACUAUAUGUCAGUUCAACUUCAUUCUGAAUAUUGGACCUCUUAGUUGGAUUUUCUUUCUCUCUUAGUUUCAUUACUUACUUAUUCUUUACUUAGCGCUUCAAAGUCUUUAAUAGCUUAUAGGAAACGGAUCCUAAGAGAGCUUCUGAUCUUACUGCAACACUCGAACCUCUAUAUACUUAAGUACUUAGCGCUGAAGCACUUACUAUAAGAUCUCGGCUACUAACGGAGUUAGCUGAAAAGUGCUUAUAAGCUGUUGCUUGCUCGGCUACAAACUAUCAAUUUGCUUGCUUACUUUGUCUCUGGGUGGUCAGGUCAACUAACCUUCCUUCGCGACGUAGCAUCUGAUACUGGCCUGGCGCGCGCUGAGCUGAAUGACUAACUUCUUUUCAAGCUCCUGUAUCUUUGGCUUCUUCACCGGAUCUGGCUUCUGAUCGAGGAGUCGACUUCACUGGCACUGCUUACUUAUACGAUGAAACUCCAACGGAGAUUCUACUUGAACCCCAACUCCCUACCCUAAUAACUCGGUUAAAGCAAAGGGAAGGUAAAGAACUGAGCUCUACGAUUUAAAGCCAAUAAUAGAACUCGACUUGACAGUGCAGUCUCGUAUACUUUCUUCGCGCCGAACCUCUCUCUAGUUCAACACAAGAAGGAACUCCAUGACAAUACUGGAACCUAUAUAUACGACAAGGAGUGUAAGUGGAACUAGAAGCAAGGCAACAAUCAUUCUAUACUUGAGCCUAGGGUAUACUAAGUAUAGAAACUUCUAAAGAUAUUGCAUUCUCCUUCUUUUGAAUCUGACUGGCUUUGAAACAAGGUGUACUUAAUAUGAGUAUCCUUUAGUUCGAGAGGAAAGUAUAGUUCGCCAAUUGUUCUAGUAUAGUAUAGAACUAUCAGGUAAUCCGAAUAAGAUAUGAGAGUUGGGUGAGAGCUUGAGUUUAGAGGAGAGUCUGUUUGCUUUGGUUGGGUUUACAGCUGACUUUCUUUUCCCUUGGUCCAACUGCUUAACGUUAAGAAAGACAGACCUCUUGGCUCUAAAUAGAUGGGCGUUAGCACUUAGGCAAAGUAUGAACUUAUGAAUUGAUUGAGUGGAAACACCUAAAAGAAAAAGGAAUUGAUUGAGGCAGAUGGAUCCUAGACAAGAGUACUCCAUUAGACUCAAGUACAACAUUCUUAUUGCCCCUUGGUUGUUGCCUAAAUUGGGAUUAGUAGUGGAAUUCUGUAAUUCUACCUUGCAACUUAGUUCUAUUCCCCAGCUUCCUCUCCUUCUUACUUAAAUGCUUACCGAGCCUACCCGCCAAGUAACAACUGUAGACUAGCCUCAUUCAGUUAGCAGAGAGGAGCCGAUACUUCUCUUUCAACAAGCCCUGCUGCUGGCAACUGUUAACUUCCUGCUGUAACUAAAAUAAGUGUUACUAAAAUAUACCACAUGUAACUAAAAUAGAAAACUGCUAACCAAUUGACUUAAGGGCUUGAACUGGGGCAGUACUAGGUAGGCGCUCUCCUUACUUACCUAGCUCAUGACUUCCUUCCCGCUGCAGAAGCACAUUCCCCACGACUAGAAAGAUCUACUCAAACAUUCAUUUAUUAUUGAGCACAUGGGUCCUGAGAUAGAUGAAAAGAAAUACACUGCUUCAGAUACUUCUCUCAAUCCCGCUCCUUAUCUAGCUUAUACUUAUUAUCCUUAUUAUUUUGACUCCUUAACCAAGAACAGAAAGAGACUAGUAGCCAACAACAAUAUGCGCUUCUAAAGUGGAGUUCGACAAAAGAGGGAUGGUGUGGCCUCGCUCGCCAUAGUAAAGUUAGUCAAGUCAGAAUGGAGUUUACAAUUGAAAUGAAUGAGCUGCGCCCGGGGGCCAAGCGUAUACUAAGUCCUUAGUUGGAGGCUCGUCUCCUUUAUUACCAAGUCCUUUGUUCCUACCCAUUUCGAAUAUCUCUUACACAUAUCUCUUUGCAUAAUAUAGACUUACAGAGCGGUAAACAAAGCUUGAAUAGCCUCUUUAUACUUCAACAAGAGCAUAACUUCUAACCUUCACCUAUUGCUUUGAAAGCCAUUGCUUUUUCUUUCCCCUCUCGCGAGCUACUUAACGCAUGGUUGCUUGUUCUUACGCGGAAGACAGGAAUUCCACUUUCCUUGUUGCUGACUUAGCGCUUGCAGCUUGCUUCAGUCUUAACGGAUUCGCUGUUUUCAGAUCCCGAUUAUCCAACGACUCAUUCUAUGUUUUUCCUAUAUAGAUAAGGAACAGGAGUUUUUGAUAAGAAGCUGUGCGCCAAGGUAAGCUUCAAGUAGUUCUUUAAGUGGAGUUCUGAAGUCAGGUUCAGAUAAUUGUGUUGGUGGCAUAAAUCUAAGUUGAGUGUUCUAGGUGUAUUCCCAAUUAUAGAUGUAUAGAGCAUCAGUUCUGAAUUUGAUGUUUGACACUUUCCUGCUUGAAUUGACUUUCCCUUUGCACUCUUGCUUGCUUAUUUGGAAUUGAGUGUAAAAGUGUUUUCAUCGACCUACUUUACUUAACUAACAGAUGAAGAAGAAGCUGGAUCGGGAUAAUCAGCAGAGUUGUAUCUAGGAACAGGCUAAAGUCGUGAUGUUCUAUUCUUGGCUUUACGUCGUGGAGAGGGGAGAGUCGCGCCAUUGUUUGUUGUACUUGCUAUCUUUGCUUGCAUACUUAAGGGAAUUGUUAGGCACCCACCCACGGCCAAAGAGCUUACUUUAGACUUUUGCUUUUAUUGCUGGCAUUGCUGACGCAACUAUAACGUCACUCUUAUUUCCUUGACUUUUAUUGCUGCUUACACCACUGAUUAUCGAGUUGACUUUCGUGCUUCUGAUCCACGGAUCCUGCUUUUUGAACUCUACCACUUGCUUAAUUCAAAUAAGCUUUAUUGGCACCCCUUGACUUACUUGACUCUUGACUUACUUACUACUUCACUCUUGACUUACUUACUAUAAGUAACCAGACUGCUUACUUUACUUAACUAUCUAUAGAGGGAAUCAGACUGCUGACUUCUUGGGGAACAAGCUACUACCGGCUUUAAGGCUGUGUUAACCACUAGGUUCAUUCUGAAAGCAAGAUGAAGCGUUAAGUGAGUGAAGACUGAUUGGCUGCGGUUUGAUUCUGAUCUUAGUAGUUUGUGCACUGCUUCAUUCUUUCAUUCCCCGGUUUUCUUCUUAGGCUCCUACUAGCUCACCGAUGAGUCCCAUUCUUAUACUGCUGAGUUGCAUUCUGUGAUUUACUGGUUUGGUUCUUAGUCUGCUGAGUUUGAUUCUUCCUUUCCUACUUGAUUGUUGAAGACCUAGUUGACUCCGGUUUACUAUAUAAAGAAUAGUAGUAAUUAUGGGCCAAGUAACUACUAAUCUAUAUAAAGAGAAAGAGCCGAGUAACUACUAAUCUGUCUUCGUGCCCAGCUCCUCCAUUCUCUAUUGACUACUAUGCUUAACACAAGCACCCGAGACUUCCCUUCCAAUGAGCACCAACACAAGCACCAAACAAGUCUCUUUGAAACACAAGCACCGAACCCGUCUCUGUGAACUCUUUCUCCUCUACCUAAGUAAACUAAUUCUGAUUUCUUACCCUGACCCGACCUCUCGACUUCCUCUGUGAACUGAACUCUGUCUCCCCUUUCUUGACUUCCCACAACAAGCUUAGGGCCAAGCAACGUUGUAAGACCAAGCCACUACUCACCCUUACCAGAGUAUAAGAACACUCCCCCGUAGUAUUAGUUUAAGACCGCCCCUACUCUUUGGGACAGUCAAACCCUGAUUCUCUUUCUUCCCUUUCCAUUGAUCGGCGAGGAAAGCAGUAAUAUAAGUGGGCACCAAAAUAAGGACUUGCUCUUAAUAAGGGAAGCCCGGGCAUAAAAGAAAGGUUCACUCUAGACUCAUAAGUACUGGUUAGAAAGAAGCUAGUCUGGUAGUUCUAAUGUCUGAAUCCGGACUUGGUAAUAACCUUAGGAUAAGUUGCUCUGUCACAUUCCUCUUAUUUAUAGGUGAAAACACAGGGGCAAGCAACGUAGCUAGUGACAAAAGCCAGCAGUAGUGAGUGACUUCAGUUUCUCUUUCUUUACCAAGCCUCUAUACCGUGUGUUACUUAUCGUCUGACUUUUAGUAAGAGACCAGUUCUAGUUCUAAAGUCAACUUAUUCAUGCCCUGUUCGAGAGGGUGAGCAAGGUUUAGUUCCAGACUUAAAGGCGCUAAGCUCGAAAGAGGUUAUUCAUUUGAUUGUUUUUCUCAGAUCUUCCCAUUUUAUUCAUCCCAUUGGAUUGGAUUCUGAAGUAAACUAACAACUCCUCUGUAAACUCACUACUCCUAUGUAAACUAAGUCAGUAAACCAGAUCAGUGCAGGAACCACAAAGUAAGUAAACUAAGGAAGUAAACCACCCGACCUCUGUUAUUGAUUAGUCACAAGUGCUUCUAUACCUAUGGCUCCGAUACCUAAGUCAACUAAUGGAAUUCCCUUCUUCUUUCUUGCUCUAGGGUACGGGUGGCUUGGCUCGAUAACAAGUAUAAGCAGUGAGUUGAGUAGUUAAUGCCUUAGUAGUAGUGGGUAGUUAAUGCCUUAGUAGUAGCGGAUUGGCUAGUAGUGUCUUGGCUGAGUUUAUUAUUAUAGUUGUGUUUGAGGCCUUGGCUCUCCGAGUUACUUGUCUAGUAGUUGUUUGGCCUCUGAUAUUACUCUAUUCCUUUUCAAUACCCGAGUUAGAAGAGAUGGAGGCAAGAAAAGAAGAAUGUACUGGUAAACAUCUGGACUUACUACUUGCUUGAAUCCUUAGAGCUGUGGUUUGGUUAGUUACCGAGAAUACAUAACUUGAAGGUAAGAAAAAGAAGAAUGAGCUCUGUAUCAAAGAAAGGAAACUCCAUUAAGGUAUUCUGACUUAAGCCAAAAGUCACUACUACAAAUACUAAGAAAGGAAGGAACUAUUAUGUGGAGGAAGGAACAAGCAGAGCGUGACAAGCAACAGUAUCAGGAGAAGAUUCAGUUCGGGAAUAAGAUGGAUCUGGAGCAAUAGAUGGGUGUUAGGUUUAGUUAUAUCUAUAUUGGGGUGGGAGGCAAUACUCUUCCCAUACUGUUUCAUCCCCUGGAAUUGAACGUACUUUGUCAGGGCAAGAAGGCAGACUCAGCAGACUACUGAAGGAGCAGUGCGAUUAGAGUCUCGGGUACCUAUACAAGAGCAGAGGUCGAGUCAACCACUACAGGGGAAAGCCAAUUAGUUCCACAUAAAGAAAGGAGAACGGCCAACUAGUAGUAGUCUAGACUUACCGCAAUUUGUACAUUAAUUAAUAAGCCUAGUAACUGACUUCGGGCUUACUCCUUCACUACUGAGUUCCAUUCUUCCUUUCUAGUUUCGAGCACUAGGUUCUAGAUACGUUGGUUGUCUCUUUUUCCUAUAGGUGUUUUUCAAGUGUUCAUAUCCCAACUAAGUAGCAGCUUAAUAGCGUUAGUGAGCUCAGGCAUAGAAACAAGUGGAUACCCCGCUCCUUUCCUUCUCUUUCAACUUUAACUACAUAUUCUCUUUCGUCGCUAACAACAAUAAGAGGAACAACAGGACAUUCUUUUCUCUAAGACAAAACAAGAACACUACUUGAAGUUCAUCAUUGAAUUUCAUAUCUAUCUUAUCGAGCACAAGGUAUAGAAGAAGACUGUAAAGCUUAUCGAGCACAAGGUAUAGAAGAAGACUGUAAAGACACAACUUACCUACCCUUCUUUGGAAUCUGAUCUAUGACUUGCCCCAACACCAACAAGCGCCACUGACCUAACAGCUUUCCUUGCCGACCUCCUCUUUCAGUUCAGAAAAUCCGAUUGAUUGAAGAUUCCCUCUUGUAUACUAACAACGAGCUUCUUUCCCUUGAGACUAAACCUGCGCUGGAGAAGGGGAAGAGCCAAGCUACUCUAAAUCUGGUGUUACAAAAGAAGCAAGGGAACCCGCAUAAAGCCUAAAAGAAUGCAAUUGAAAGCGAAUUUCCGAGUUUCCAUCAUUUCCACUAAGAAACUUGCCAACGAAUGCAUUUCUGCCUAUAAUCUUUAUGGCCUAUAAACUCUCAUAUCUUCACCUCUGAUUCUCUAACUACUGUUCCACUCUGCAACUCUUGUAUGAAACCUAAUCUUCCACUCAGGCAUUCCUACAAAUAAUCAUAAGGGAUCAACUAACCACGCUAAAACAUCUUCUGAACCCCCACCUUGCUCGUCUCGAGUCACUGUCCCUCUUUCAGAGCCUCGUCUAUUAUUAGAAAGAGCAAACACACUUCCUUCUCUGGGGACUAGAAUUCCAGUAUGGAAGGUGGCAUGGGUAGAUUCGAUUCGAGGGUUGGGCUUACGGAUAGAAGCUAGGGUAUCAUGCAAGUGGUUAAGAACGGAAAGUCGAGAGAGGAGAGGUCGACAAAAGAACCAGCAAGGGAACCAGUAUCUGGCCGGAAGUAUCCUUCUGUUCUCAAGUAAUCAUGGAGAUUGGUUAGUUACCCGAUUCUAUCAUGCCUAGGUCGAGAACAAGACUGAUUCCGUUACGGAUCUAUCUUCUGCUGGAACUCAACUUUACUGAGCUACGGGCUACAAGAGCAAUCCAAUCACCUAUUUCUAGAACAAGGUAAGGAGGCUACGCACUGAACCAACUCACUACUCGGUCGGUUAAGGCUUGAAUACCAGAUUGAGAUAGUUUUAGGCGAGGUGGGCCAAGGAAAACAACCAAGCGACUAUACAAGUCACUACUACAGUGAGUUAUUCGCAAGUACAGCAUCAAAGAAAGUCACUUGAAGUAUGGAAUGCAUCACUCAAUGAGUCAGUAUAUGAAUGAUGCAUCACUCAAUGAGUCAGUAUAUGAAUGACAUUUGUAAGCUCUCUAUGUAGCUGCUUGUUAUCAACAAUUUCGUUCUCCUUUUUGGUUUUGGUGGUGGUUCGAGUUUGCGCUGGUGGGGGAAGCGGGGAUAGUCAUAUUCUAUGGGGAAGCAGGGAUAGUCAUCUUCUAUUGUUGAUUAGAUCUUUCUGAUUAUUGGUUUACUACUAUUUAUUUCCAUGAAAAUGGUAGGACGUCAUAUAGCACCACAGGCGAGAAACCUAGUUGAUCCAUAUAGCCUGCCUUUAAGGGGUUCCGUUCAAGGAGUUACUUAGUUGAGCUCGGGUUUUGAGUGAACAGUCGCUUUCCUAAUAAAUGAAAUACAUUCUCAGAAUACUAUUCGGUAGCCGAGUUGGUCUGACUCAGCAAAUGUACAAAGAAAGCGGGCAUCUCCACGAUAUACUAAGCCUGCGUGAUCUCUCAUCCCUCCGACCCACCUAUGCUUAUAUUAUUCCCUUCACUGGUUUAUCGACGAGUCUACUGGCAUCUCGAGCUGUAGUAUAUGUCACUGAAAAGAUAUGCCACUAGACCAGGUGCUCUUGAGAAAGGCAACGAACCUUAUAACGGGGGGUUUCAAUUGAUUCUUAUGAGGGGGAUGCAUCUAAAUACGCGUAUGGAACCACAAUCUCUGCCGCUAGCUUUGCACUCGUAGGAUAAGCAGGUCCCUUGGUGGAACCGAGCGAAGUGCGGAAGCUAGAGCUAAGGCAAGGUACGAAGCUACCAGCAAUUAAGCUGCUUUGGUAGUACUCGACAGAAAGGAUAGGGCUUUGCUGCUGCUGUCCAACAAGUUUCAGAGUUUGCUAAAAAAGACAAGUAAGGAGCGAGUCAGGUCUACUCCACGUAGCCAAGUCUUGUCAAAGCCAAAAAGGCUCUUGCCAAACUAAAACCAGUUCCUAAAGGACAGGAAUAGCUAAUCCGCAAGCUAGAAAGAAACAUAGAUGAGAUUACACCCCUAUCAGUGCAACGGCCGCUUUCUCCCCAACUAAAGCCUAAAAGAGGACAGGGCAUAAGCACUCUUAUACCUGGCCUUAGACUGCUACGGUUAGCUCUUGACCCAGGACUGGCUAUCUCUCAAUCAAUGUAUUCACGCAUCUCGAAAGAGUGAAAAGCGAAUUCCCUACCAGAGCGGAAAUAGCCGGGCUUCUUCAAAGGGAAUGCUCACUCUCCGGGUAAGGCAAGGCUAACGUUAGAAAAGUUGUUCUAUUCCUCAGUCUGGUUUGCGGAAUAAGUAAGCAUGAAGCUUGCCUGAGAAAAGCCGUAGAAAGAAAAGAAGGGCGGAAGCUACGAGUGAACCAGAUCGACCUGAGAGGGAGUCCCAGGAAACGGUAUACGAAAGAAGGUCUACUUUACGGGGAUGGAGUGUGCAGACUUCGGUUGAAGCGUCCAGACUCCGUUAGUGAAAAGAAUAUAGGACUAAGAUAAGAAGAUCUGUUUCUCUUAAUCAGAGCGCAUUCGUCUCGUCUAUCGGUCCUUAGUCUUAGAGAGAAAUUGGUGGUGGCCACUACGUCAAGAGAAAAUCUGCUCUUUCGAUUCUAUUUUCCUCGAUGAGUUGAAGGGACUCCGAAGCUUCGACCGUACCCUCUUUCUUUAGUAGCGAGUUUCACUUGAAAGAUAUCAUUGAUUUUCACCAAGAGAGAAAGUAGAAGCGCUAACUCACUAGACGAACAAUCGACCCUAGGGAUCGACCCGAUUCCGCCUGCGAACAUCACUUCCUAUAGUUUAAGGUAAUGUUGGGGUCUGCCGCAUCUGAUUCCCCAGAAACGAGAAACCUUCACAUCAAUGAAGGAAUGCAAGUCCUGUUUUCAGCAAUAAGUAGCUCUCAAUCAGGCGUUCAAACAGGAUUAAGGGAAGAGAAACAAGAUUAUCCGCGUUAACAGGAGUUGUUGAAUGAUUAGUUUACUCAACAGGCUAAAGGGAAAGGAAAGUAGAAAGCGUAGAAAGAAGCUCGGCUCGGGCUCGGAUCGUGUAGUAUAGAAAUGGGGUAAUUAGAGCAUCACAGUGCAGAAAUAGAUGUUUGAGUUGACCACUUCAUAUUUGUCAGGGAAAGAUUCCCGUCCGGGUUUCGGCUAAGGUGUGAGGCGCUAACUGAGUUAAUAGGUAUAGGUGUAUUCCUUCAAGGAGUUAAUAGGUAUAGGCUUUCAGCACCUUCAAUAUAUAGCUUCAGUUCAAUCUCAUUCCGCACGUAAGGAAGUUGCCAUAUUCCAUUCUUCACUGAAAAGAGGUAAGUCAACUUCAGAUUGAACUCCUCUCUUGAACUCCUAAGAUACGACUUUCUUUCUUGACCUAGUUAAGUACUACUUGCUUUCUUGCCCUAGUAGUAGCGCUAUGUGUUCGGGAGAAAGAGUUCAAAGAUACUGAGUUUUCAGCCUUAAUGAGUAGGGGAGCCCUGUCUACCAAACUUUCAUUCUCUCUUAUAUCAGAUUCAAGAUGAAACAAGGGAUUUUCAUUAGAUACAAGGGAGCAGGAAGGUAUACACGCGUGGUAUCUCUUCCCCUAAGGAGAAUCUGGAUUUUGACUAUUCUGUAUUCUGACUUUGUAGUGGAAUUCUUUCAUAUACGAUUUCAUCUCUAGAUACUGCAGACAGAUUAGUAGUGACUUUGCUCUGGUAUUCUUACUUAAGAGAACUACUUUCAACUACUAUACAAGCAACUUCAACUAGAAAGGAUUAUUCUCUCGGCUAGGCUUCGGCGGAUGACUUAACUGCUUCCCUUGCCUAGGUACUAGAAAUAGGCGCAAUAGGAAAUAGCAAGUAGGUAGUGGCUUUUCAAACGGAUAUUCCCGGGGCAGGAGCGGUUCGUUCUAGUUUGUAAGCCUACAGUAAGUGCUCUAUCGGUCCGGAUCGAUCAGCUCGCUUUCAAGACAAGAGUGAGUGGAAUUCUCUCCUUUCUAUAUUCCUGUCUAACCUAUCUUCAGUAAGACAAAUAGGGAAGACAUCACAUAACAUAGAGUCCAUCGCUUCCACCCUGGUGGUCUAACUCACCGCUAUGGUAAGCCUUAGGUAAGGAAUAACUUAUCCGGGUUGUCUACUCGUCAGGAAGUGGAACUACUAAUUAAUGGGAAGCUAUUGAGUCACCCUAGAAGCAAGAGNNNNNNNNNNNNNNNNNNNNNNNNNNNNNNNNNNNNNNNNNNNNNNNNNNNNNNNNNNNNNNNNNNNNNNNNNNNNNNNNNNNNNNNNNNNNNNNNNNNNNNNNNNNNNNNNNNNNNNNNNNNNNNNNNNNNNNNNNNNNNNNNNNNNNNNNNNNNNNNNNNNNNNNNNNNNNNNNNNNNNNNNNNNNNNNNNNNNNNNNNNNNNNNNNNNNNNNNNNNNNNNNNNNNNNNNNNNNNNNNNNNNNNNNNNNNNNNNNNNNNNNNNNNNNNNNNNNNNNNNNNNNNNNNNNNNNNNNNNNNNNNNNNNNNNNNNNNNNNNNNNNNNNNNNNNNNNNNNNNNNNNNNNNNNNNNNNNNNNNNNNNNNNNNNNNNNNNNNNNNNNNNNNNNNNNNNNNNNNNNNNNNNNNNNNNNNNNNNNNNNNNNNNNNNNNNNNNNNNNNNNNNNNNNNNNNNNNNNNNNNNNNNNNNNNNNNNNNNNNNNNNNNNNNNNNNNNNNNNNNNNNNNNNNNNNNNNNNNNNNNNNNNNNNNNNNNNNNNNNNNNNNNNNNNNNNNNNNNNNNNNNNNNNNNNNNNNNNNNNNNNNNNNNNNNNNNNNNNNNNNNNNNNNNNNNNNNNNNNNNNNNNNNNNNNNNNNNNNNNNNNNNNNNNNNNNNNNNNNNNNNNNNNNNNNNNNNNNNNNNNNNNNNNNNNNNNNNNNNNNNNNNNNNNNNNNNNNNNNNNNNNNNNNNNNNNNNNNNNNNNNNNNNNNNNNNNNNNNNNNNNNNNNNNNNNNNNNNNNNNNNNNNNNNNNNNNNNNNNNNNNNNNNNNNNNNNNNNNNNNNNNNNNNNNNNNNNNNNNNNNNNNNNNNNNNNNNNNNNNNNNNNNNNNNNNNNNNNNNNNNNNNNNNNNNNNNNNNNNNNNNNNNNNNNNNNNNNNNNNNNNNNNNNNNNNNNNNNNNNNNNNNNNNNNNNNNNNNNNNNNNNNNNNNNNNNNNNNNNNNNNNNNNNNNNNNNNNNNNNNNNNNNNNNNNNNNNNNNNNNNNNNNNNNNNNNNNNNNNNNNNNNNNNNNNNNNNNNNNNNNNNNNNNNNNNNNNNNNNNNNNNNNNNNNNNNNNNNNNNNNNNNNNNNNNNNNNNNNNNNNNNNNNNNNNNNNNNNNNNNNNNNNNNNNNNNNNNNNNNNNNNNNNNNNNNNNNNNNNNNNNNNNNNNNNNNNNNNNNNNNNNNNNNNNNNNNNNNNNNNNNNNNNNNNNNNNNNNNNNNNNNNNNNNNNNNNNNNNNNNNNNNNNNNNNNNNNNNNNNNNNNNNNNNNNNNNNNNNNNNNNNNNNNNNNNNNNNNNNNNNNNNNNNNNNNNNNNNNNNNNNNNNNNNNNNNNNNNNNNNNNNNNNNUGCGCGUCCCAAAGCUUUAAUAGAGAUGCAAGUACUGUGCCUAUGACCUAAUCCUUAUUACUUCUAUUCUUCCUCAAUAAGGAAAGAAAACUCCCUUUCUUUCUCUAUUCCCCCUCGGAUAUAACUUGAAACUAUCCUUGUCUCGUGAUCUACUCAAUCAAUGAUCUUGAAACACUGCGAAUUCUUUCCUUUAUGGCAUGCCAAAGCAAGGUAAGCGAUCUAUUCUAUCAAUUGUAUUUCCAAAGAAUGCCAAAGCAAGGUAAGCGAUCUAAUCUAUCAAUUAGCCUACGGAACCAAAGCUGCAUCCAUGCCCCCGACCUUGGAUCUUGGAAAAUGUAGGUAUACUCACUGAAGCAAGCACUAGUGAAGGAAAGACGUACAGCGAAUCUGGAACAUCGGGAUCUUGUUCACUCUGACUACGUAACCUGUACUUUGCCUAUUACCUCAUAUCCUAAGCUAAGGCAAAGAGCGGAUUCUCCGACAUUGAUCUGACUGUUGACUCUAUGCUUUUUCCUAAGACAGUGGAUUAUCCAUCUAAGACAUCCUUUUCUAGGCCACGCAUCAGACUAGGAAUUCCAAAGCUCCGAGUUAGCUGCCCGACAGAUAAUAUCAUACCGGCCACUCCCUAUUUCUCUUUCUUAUAAUAUCAUACCGGCCACUCCCUCUUUAUCUUUCUUUAAGGCAAAGUUUCAUUGACGAGCGGAUCUUGGACUUGCAAUCAUUGAGUUAAGAUUCCGAGCUGCCCCUGAAUUCAUCCAAUUCUUUCCUGGGAAGGGCUAACAUCCGCCAAUUCCAUGACUUUACUUACUUCUGAUUUGGAAUGAAUCAUCCAAUGAAUAUCCAUCCUUCAAGGCUUUCUAAGGGCUAACGGAACUUGCUUUCUACUGGGAUUCUUUCUUUUAUCAAGGUUUUCCUGAAAGCACUUACUCAAUGCUAACCUCUAUAACCAAAGAAAAGAGCGGAUCUCUGCUUACGAAUGCCAAAGCUCUCUAUCCCCGGUACCAUCCUUCUUGAUAUUUCCCAUUGGCUUUACCUUAUUUACAGGUCGACUUCAUGGCAGCAAGAAAAGGCGAUCUUAUCCUAUACUCUGGUGAUCUCUUUACUACCGAGGCAGGCAAACUCCCAUCGUGUCCCAGAUCCAAUUCUUUAUCUCUAAAAAGGGAAGCCUACUCAUCCAUUAGCUCUUCUCUACGAUCGGUGCGGUUUGUUUGACGAAGCGUCUAAGUUAACUAGCCUUGAUCAAUGUUGAUGCUGACUAAAGCUGACCUCUUCUCUUAUACACUGAUAGCAUUCUUUCCCACACUUAAUACCUCCUUUUCCUUAUUCUUUAGGUAAGGCUUAUAGAGGGCCAGGCAUAGUGGGAGCAUCCUGUCGACAAGAUAUUUGGCUUGACCAAUCCGUGCCCUCCAAGUCGAAUGACGUUUUCACCGAAAUCACUUCUUGCGCUAUAAAUGCCUUUCCCAUUUUAUGACCAGAUAUUGUUUCUUUAUAUUUCCUUUGAAAAGUGGUCUCGGGACUUUUUCUCAAUAGGAGGUUAUCAUUGAAUAUAAGACAGAGUCAUUCUGGCAAUCAAAUCUUCCUUCCGGGUGUAAGGCGUAAGCCCCAGAAAUAUGGUGCAAAAAUAGGGUGCGGAUCGAAUCACUAUGCCUAUCUUAGUAGUCUUUCUUAUUGGAGGACUCCUAUUCCUCUGAUAUUGAUAAGAAGCAUCCAGCAGCUCGUUUAGAAUUCGAUUCAAAGUCAAGUCUCACCUUCACCUUUAUGGGUUGUUGUCGAAGAAAGUUUUCAAUACUAGCUCUUUCUUGAUUUCUCCGAAAGGUAUCUUUUGAUAAAUAGAGAUAGACGCCUAAGUAAUAAGAACGGAAUACGAAACUUCCCCAUUAUCCAUACUAUAGAGCUAGGAGGAAGGCUAUGAAGGAAUUCCUUAUACGAAUUAGGAUUGUACCCAACCAAAAGAACCCUUCGGGCGGCAGAGGAAAAAGAAAGGAGAAACGAAACCCCUGUGACCGGUUGGCUGUGUGCGCCACGGAGAAGAGCCAUACCCUGAGGAAGCUUACCCAACUCAGCGCGCCAAGCUCGAAAGUCACUAAGAGACAAGUCGACAACUAGGUGAAUUCUGUUACUACUGAGUAAGCCUACAGAUUGCCCGAACUGAGUUACUACUUAGGAGUAAGCCCACUGAUGAGAGAUAGAACUUCUACUUAUGAGUAAGCCCGAACUCAUACUUAUGAGAGAUAGAACUCACUGAUACAUUAUUAUAGAAUGUCGUUGCUUGUUAGCCCUCUUGUUAAUACUGAGAUGAUUUCCCGCCUUCCCCUUUACUUGACUUUAAGUAAGCUGUGUUUUUCAUAAAUUCUAUCUAAUGGGAAGAGACAUGUAUGAUUAUUGUUCUGUUAUUUACUAGUGGAGUUAUUUUCUUUGAUUAGUUAUCGAAUAUCAGAGUGAUUUCCAUAGUAUUGGGUGCGGGUCAAAAGGAUCUUAUAGAAACUGUGCCUAAAUUCGAGCCAAGCGUAUACUAAUGCUAAAGGGCCGCUAUGAAUAAUGACAAAGUAGUGCUCUUCAUUCUGAUCAAUUCUGAAAGUAGGUGCUCUUAAUUCUCUUAAAGUAGUGCUCUUCAUUCAGAAAUUCUCCAUUCUGGAAUUAUUACUUGUGCAGGUAAAGUGUCUUUCUCUCUGUGCUAAGGUUAGCUUGUCGGGUUGGGCAAGAAGGAAAGGAACACGUAUACGGAGACUUAAUUCCAUACCUGAGUCGAGGUAGAUGAGAAAGCUGCUCCUUAGUGAAUAUAAGAAUCAAACCGGGGAUAGGAUCCUUCAAGUUGUAGUCCAGGCCCUACCUAUACAGGUCAAACAAGUAGGUGAUUCUGAAGCGGGGGAAUCGAAGUUGUAUCAGAAGCUGGAAGUAGAGAAUUGUUGACAGUUGCCAGAGAUAUAGGAGCCUUAGAAGGGACUUCAGAAUAAGGGAGCGGGUCUAAAGUCUCAGUAGUUCAAAUGAUUAUUAUAAGAUUGAAUUGACAAGUCAAAAGAUACUAGCAUAAGUUCAAGGGCCAAGCAACGGCAGGAUCUGAAGCAGUUACGUAUCAGUGCAAGCCAGGUCUGAAGCAGUUACGUAUCAGUGCAAGCCAGAGUCGAGGUAGAGUAGAAAGAGAGCAGUAGUGCUAGGGAAGGAAAUCAAUAAAGUCUAGUGAGUUUGAGUUCAAAGAGCCAGAGUAGAGCCAGAAAACCGCAUCUUCUUCCCUAAGUAAGCAAAAGGGAAGCAGUUCAGUAAGAAGGAGAGCCCAGUGCCAGUAAUAGUUCUAGGUCUAGUUUCACCUAUAAUAGCAUCCGUUUCCGUUCAAAGAUCUUAAGCUGUGCGGUAUCAAGGUGCAGCAUCUCUUUACGGUGGUUGUGUGAAAGCAUCUCAUUCCUCUGUUGAUGAAGCAGAAGCAUUCAAAUAAUGGAUUUCAUCUUUGUCUCCGGGUGGGGGUGGCUUUGGAGUUCUGUUAGCGAACGACUUUCCUUUCCAGGAAUUUCAACUCCCGUUAGCACAACGUCUUGUAUUGUUAUAGUUUAAGAACAGAUUGCAGCUUCCUUUAGCCUCGCAAAUACGGAUUCCACUCAGGAUUCCACAAUCCCUCUAUCUUCUUCACCAGAGUAUAGGCUUGCUUUAAUUGUCAAUAGCUUGUGAUUCGGAGUUGUCGACCAAGGAAUAGAGUAUGGAAGUGGAACACAGUCGAGUCUGCUCUCCAGGCUAUCUAAGACCUUUUCCGCCCAGAAGUUGGGUAAGACCUUUUCUGUAUGACCAAAGGAAUUAGGGCCUAUGUAGGAAGACCCUCCCCGCAAGAAAUCGGUACUUUCGAGAAGUUAGUCAAAGAGAAUGCCGACGCUGGAACUGUGGAGGCGACUCCUAUCCGGCGUAUUAGUGGUCGAAUUACUCUAUCUAUACAAGUCCGUUUUCAGAGACAGACUGACAAUGGCCUUCCUUUCUCUGCAUGAAAUAAAGCCUUUACAUACAAGGAAAGUUGUGUUCUAAUCUAUUGAGAACUCGGCAGCAAGGAAAUAUCUAUUGAUGACUGGGGGAGCAAGGAAAUCGAUUUACUGGGCAGCAAGGAAGGAGUUAGGUUACAAUGAACGAACUGCUUAUUAGAGAAAUAUCUCGACGGAGGCUCUUGCUUUGGUCUGUCUUUAGGGGAUUGUUCUUCACAGAGUUGGAUUCCAUUUCCUGAUAAAGAGAGAAAAGGAAAAACCUUCACGUAGCGCGGAUAUACUUGACAGAGUCGAAAGAGAAGGAAAGAUGUCAGGUUGGUUCAUUUUGUUCGGAAGAAACACUCCAGCUUGCUCAUUGGAAAUAGCCCGUAGCUUGCCCGUUGCUUGACAGCUUGCCGGUUCAGAAUGUUAUUAAUAAAGCAAUUGAACUUGCACCAAGUAUAUAAGUUGGUAAGAUUACCGAUGUUUCUAUACAAGACGGUAGACUUUAUAUAAGAGAUAUUGUUUUGAAAUAAGCAAGUUAGGAUCCGAAGUCGGUGUUAUAGAAUUAGAUACAAGAGCUUAAGCCUUAGCGCGGGUUGUUUUCAUUGAUCCGAUCUUGUUUCAUUGUUGUUAACAAAGGAAUCAUAUUUGUAUGCCCCGGUAUGGUAGGCUUAACUACUCAGUCACUAGAUCGUACCUAACCUUUAUUCUUCUUAUCCUGUAUGCACUGAAUGAUACCUCUGUUCGAAAGUCAAUAAGCAAUUUCAGAAUCGAAGAAGGAAGUCAAAGAAUGUAGGGCAAUAGCUAGAGGGUAGUCGGGGAAGCUAAGUCAGAAUAUAAGUCAGCAGUCAGGGAAUGAAAGCCAGAGUUGAGGUCCGGAAAGGCAGCCUAAUAGUAAGUAAAGAGCACGAAGCCAGUAAGGGACGCCCAAGAUACAGCAAAGUCAAGGCUAAAAGAGAGGAAUGCCAGUUUGUCUGUUAUUAUAAGAGAAUAUAUCUAAUGCAAAUGACUAUUAUAAGAGAAUAGAUAAAUGACUAUUAUAAUAUCAUAUAUAAAUGACAAAACCAACUCUAAUACAUGCGGAAGGAAUACUCAAUUGAAUCAUGAAAUAAACAAGUCAGAAUGCCGUAUAGGGUGGGCAAUAAAGUGACCUCACUGCUAAAUGAUCUUUCUUCUUAAGGUAAGCGCUUUCAACUCUCGCUUUUGUUAGCUUUGGAAGCUGAAGCCACAAACAAAUACUUCUCAUCUCUCCAGUACCGAGUCAACUCAUUCAUUUGCAUUUCAUCUUUCGUAUCGAGCACCUACACCUAGUAAAGAAAUCCGUAAAUAACACUAUCCCUUUUGUCGAACUUAACUUCACUUUCGGACCUGCUGACUUCUGCCUUUAUUCUUUCUUUCCCGCACCCCCGCCCGAACUAGGCUACGAACAAGAGCAUAGGUCGACUCAAACUCACUAACUAUGGGACUUAUUCUUAUCCUUAAUCCGCGUGAACUCUACUUGCAUAACCGACUCUACUUUCUGAUCCCGAUCAAGUAUAUGAUCUCGGCGCUACUGAUUCUCUUGACUUUCUCCACGCCAAUACCUAUGCUUGCAGCUGAAACUCUCACUGUUGAUGAACCCUCUUCUGAUCCCCUGAUCCCCUUAGCAAGCACAGCGUAUUCUCUUUCAACUUCCAAUCAAACUACUAGCUAAUUGAACUAGCACCGAUAAGACCUGAACCCAUAUACUACUAUGGAUAAGAAGAGUCCCACUCCUAACUCGACUCGGAAUGGAACUCAGAAGUAAGACCCACCCACGCAUAUAAGAAUUAGCGAUAUCGGAAUUAGGCAGUGCCCCUAACUAUUAUAUUAAUCAGAAUUGACACCACUAAUGGAAAUACCUUAACUCGGAACUCAGACUCGAACACUACCCCCAACGACUUAAACUACUCAUAGAAAGGCUGAAACAACACCUAAUAGAAUGGAACGACUUACUUGCCAACCCUCCAACCUCUGAAUCUUCAUAGUAGUUCUAAUACUCUCUAUUAAAGUAACCUAACUCCUUCUAUAUGAAAUUAAAGUAAAGUGACUUAACUCCUUUCUUUUCAUUCCAUCUACAAAUUCUAUAAAUUGAUGAAAACCACUUCUGACUGAACUCCGCUCGCCUCUUUCUUUCCCUGGAUGUUCUAUUCAAUGUAAGCUAUAUUCAUUGGCCCAUCCUCAAGUCAAUGGCCACUCCUAUCUUUCCUCCUUGUUGAGCUGAAUAUCAAGUUUCAAGGUGUUGUCAGGUAAGAUGUUAGUUAUACAGAGAAUCCAAUACAAACACUUAAUACAGAGAAUCCAACACUUAAACACGGAUUACAUUAAGUCCAACACUCACACACAUAAUAGAUAAUACUACUUUCUUUUGGAAAUGAGAAAGAAAGAGCGUAAAACAAAAUAUGUCUUUCGGAAUACAUAUGUGCUAAUGACAAAGAGCGGGGUAAGCCCUUCGGUGUGCUAAUGAUAAAGAGCGGGGUAAAUAUGACUUAGGAAUACAUAUGUGCUAAUGACAAAAGAAAAGAGCCACGUCAAUCAAUCCGCCAAAAACGGAGAGAGAGAGAGAUUCAGAAUCAGAAAUGGAUAAUAGGCUUAUAGAAACUCCUAAGGAGAGUUAUAGCCACAAUCCGUCUAUACCUUAUGCCAGUAAAGACAAUCGAACUCGCCUUCCUCCUUAUACGCUAUUCUUCUUUCACUUUGCUCUGCUCAAUCCAAUCUUAUGGAGGCAGAGACCACUGUGUUCGCUUGAAUCGAGCUAUAGAAGCUCUGUAACACUCUCUUUUUCACUAUGAAGAAAACAAACAAACACCUCUAAUCCUUUUCUUUUGUCCGAAGAAUCAGUAUUCAAUCCCCAGAGCAGUUGAGAAAGAAAGAGUAGUUGGUUUUCCCUGUAUUGAUAGCCCCGAGUCAGCAUUUAUGAGCUUAUCGGGUGGACACAACUAUUUGUUUUUUGAUAGUGAAGUCUGCUUUGUAGACCUUCUGCAAUACAGUAUAGCCUUUUCUUUGCCUUGUUCUCCGGGUCGGCUUGAAAUCCUUCUCAACGAUAGAUUCUUUUUUGUCACUGCCAUAAUACCCCUUCCUUGUUAUUGAGUUUGGUAACUUAUAUUCCCAUAAUACCCAUAUUUGUUAUUUAUUAGUAAAUCAUCAUCCCCUUAUUUAUUAAUAGCUAUCCGCCCGAUUCAAUAGAGAGCUGGUCCUUCAAUAAUCAGCACAAACUAGCCCCCAACAUUGAGCUAUCCCCACCGAAAGACAGACAGACCCAACAUUGAUGAUUGACCCAACAUUGAGCUAUCCCUACCGAAAGAAAAGGAAAGGGAUAGAAUAGGUUUUGUUACCAACUGGCCAUGAACUCGGCCAAGGGUAAAGAUGAUUCAGAAUAAAUGCAAUUGAACAGCGUUGUUUGUCCCGUUGCUUGUUUCUUUUAUUGUGCAAAUAGAAGAAGAAACCCGAUCCCGCCCAUCGUUGUCAUUGAUUACCAUUAACUGUACCUGACUAAAAGCUGUAACUACACGGGGAGAUUGCCUAUGCCUCUUUCUCGUUGGCUGUAGUUCAUCUCUGAUAGAAUAAGAGGGUAAGUGAGCGCUUUCAGUAUCAAGUUAGGGCGUUGUCAAUCAGUGUCAAAGUAUAUAGAAUCAGAGUCUAAAGUCAGCACUAAAGUCAGCGGAACUGGUCCAGUAGAAAGGUUCUGCUCCGCUCUCCCGUAAGCGCUUAAUAGAUGUGGCUUCUUCCUGCUCCGGAUCUAGUUUCUUAACGUCUUCGUUCUUAUCCUUAUUCAUAUCCUGCUCCACCUGGCUCUAAAUCCAAUAAUGGGAGCCUUAACUAUGUAGUUUGAGUUUGUUUCUUUCCUCUUCUAUUGCUUGUUGAGUUGCUUCUUGAAGAAUCAUAUAGCUUUUCAUUAUUAAGAUAAAACGAGUAACCAGACUGCUUACAUAAAACAUAUAUUACUCCUGGCACAAACUCACAAACGCUUGUUGGGCAAAAUCAUGGAAUUGAAGAUGACCCGCUUUUAUAUGAUACGAGCAUGAAAUAAGUGUGUGGCGCCCUUGAGACUUUACCUAAGCUGUUGAGAAAAGAGCUUAUAGAUAAGAAAGUAGACUUGAAGUUCCGCUUGCUACUGACUUGAGACUUAAGCGGUGGGUAUUCAUUCUUAAAGAGAUGAUCUUAUGCUUCAGAUCCAGCUCCAACUGCAACAACUAAUUCCACAAGAGGAGCCUCUUUUCAACGUUAUACGAGAUAAUACUUUACUUGCGAAUAACUCACUACCGAGCACGUAAAGCUUCUGAUCUUUCAACUCUUUCAAAAAGAGAAAGAUACUCAUCGCCUUAACCAACAGAGAAAACAGUACUUUCUUUUGGAACUGGACAUUCUCAUUCAGCUGCUGACUUUCGCAUACCUUUUUCCGACCUAGGCUUGAAGGGGAAAGGAACGAAAACAGGACAUCCUUCUUCCACAUAUGGAGUAAAAACACUGACUGCUAAGCUUCCUCUCUUUUAGCGUGUGAAAACUCCUAACUCGAAACACUCCCAUAAGUUGUUCCCUGAAACCACAAAGCUCACGUUAGCCCUUACUUAUUGAGUUUACUUAAACCACAUUGCUUCUUUUAAGAACUCUGCUAGGGCAGCUUCCUGCUAUACUCUCGUACCUCAUCAUUGCCUAAAGCUUUCACAAUGGAAAUUCAUCCAUGUGGUAUAGAAGUCAAGUAAACAAACACUGCACUUACUCUAAAGGAAGUAACUAAACAUAUUACAGCAGCUGGCUCUAAUCAAAUGCGCUGUUCCAACAAAUUCACUGAUGACUAUACAAAGCUUGUUCGUUCCCCGGAAAGUCACUUAUAACCUCAUAGCCUGUUUAAACCUCAUUGCUUACUGCAGGCUCUGGCUCUACCUGCUUACAGCUGACAAAACAAACUAGUUCCUUUUUUCUCCUGCCUAGAAGCUAUCUGAAUGGAAUAUCGGCGUGGGGUUCAGCGAAAUCAAUGAUUCAAUCAGGUUCAGCGAAAUCCAUGGUUCAAUAAAGAUGGAUGCCUGCCACCUAUUCUAUUAAUGAAGUCUCUGGUCUGCUCGCCGGUAAAGAAUCGAGGUCCCUAUUUUGUAAGAAAGAGAAAACUCUGCUGCCUAACCGAAACCUAUACUGACUAUAGUGAUAGUACUCUUUUAUCUUGCCUAAAGCUUGUAUACUUGAUUUACUUAACUCAAUAAGCAACAUUAUACAAAGCUUGUUUGUUCUGUUGCGCUUACGCGAGUUCUUUGCCCUUCUUUGUUGAAACACCGAAGCUAACGCACCCCACUUCUGAAUCGAAUAUAAGUCAAAAACCCCGCUGCUACACUUACUUAUUGAAUGGAAUGGAAUCUCCAUAGCAUCAUAUAGAAUAGUUUAACCUAACCUGGAAACAAGAAAUAGCGUUAGUGCGAAGAGAAGAAUAGAGCAUUACAAAUAGAGAAGCCCAGCAAAAGACUCCUGACUGCUUAUUAGAAAGAAUAGAAUUGAUAUGGAGGCACCUAAUAUAAGAGACUAGAGCAAUAGUAACUACACUCCGAAUGAGGCACCCAAUAUAAUAGACUAAAGCAAUAGUAACUGAACUCCGAACUCUGGUAACGAAUAUCAUAGGCGCCACUCCCAAACGCGCAACAACAACAAGCUUACUCACUUGUGCUUACGCUUACUUACUUGUGCUAGCGGUUACUCUCAGGGGCAUGUUAUGUUGAGUUCGAGCAAGGAUGUCCUUUAUUAUUGAGUAAUCUCUAACCAACUAAGAGAAAGAAGGUUCACCCAAGAAAGUCAAGAAAGUGGAUUUCCUAUUCCUCUGCCUUUGAAUUUGUAUAUUAGGGCGGUAAUAGUAAGCUGGCGGUGCUUUUGUGGUAUCCGUCAAAAAGCAAUGCUCUGUGAAAGUGACUCAUUUCUAUAACAAACAGGAGAGCACUAAAUUCCAUUCAAUAACCCUAACUUGACCGACCAUGUAAAGGGCCUGGAUAAGGAUUAUUUCACGAAGUUGAGUCGACAACUGCAAAUGGAUUAGAAGCAGCCGCAAGUCACGUAUCUCAUCUAAAGUAUAAAGUCAGGUAUCAAGUCAAGGGUGAGGGGCAGUCAAGAGCAGAAGCAACAGAAGAGAGAUAUUAAGCAGUAUCCGGUGAGGAGGUAGAACCCAGAUCUUGAAAGUCCAAAGUGCGGGUGUUGCUGACUCGAAUGAAGCAGCGGCUGGUUAAGGGAAGGGAAUAGAAUGAAUUGCUUGUUCAACUCCAAUGUAUUAAGAAUUCAUUGAAUCCAUCGAGCUCCCUAAAGCCAGUUCUGCAAACCUAUAUUUCUUUCUUUAUUGCUUGCUCGGCGUGCCCCUUUGCUUCUUUCUCUCUUCCGGCAUAAUCAUCUUUAUCAGCAUCCAACGCUCUAGCUCCAUACAAGAGUACUUUCUAGGCGCUCUUCCUAUCCUCUCCUUCUAUAAUGAAAGCAUCCUUUCUUUCCUAGCACCGACGAAAGCAUCCUUUCUUUCCUAGCACCGACCAAGGCAUCCCCUUUCCCUCAAAUACUUGUUCUAGAAACUAUGGCUUGUUCUGUGCGUACCUCAAUUCCUUCUUCAGCGCUAAGGGAAUUCCUGUCUUCAUCUUAAAGUCGAGUGAGCGGAGGAAUAAAGUACUGGUGCGCGAACGGGAGUUUUAGUUGAUUGACUCGUUCGUUGAUUUAGUAUAUAAAGGGUAUUUAGAGAUAGAUUCCAUUCCAGUAGUUUGGAGUGCGAGAUAUCUUCUUUUUGGAUUUUCCAUUUCAUUCUUUGUUUACUCUGUUAAAGAUAAGAAAUAACUGGUAGACUCGGUACUUAGGGAGUUUCUGCUUGAUGGAAAUUCCCAUUACAUGGAACACAUAAGUUCAGAAAUGCAUCUUUGAGUUGCGCUAACCAUACUUCUUGUAUGGGGUUAGGUGCUUUAGAGUUGUCGCGGGUAGGUGCUUUAUAGAGAACAAGUAAUCUGAAUCUACUAAGCAAGAAGAUCUUCCGCGCACUAAGCAAUCUUAUCUUCUUCAAUAGGAUCUUGAACUGGACGAACAGAACUCGUAUUUACUUCAGGACAUAUGUUAGGUUCUCUUGCUGGUUAAGUUGCGCUUACGUGAGCGGGUGCUAAUAUUAGUCAUGGGAGUGAAGUAUGUUAGAUUACUCAAUUAUAAGCUGCAGCGGGCGAAAUCCUAGAAUGUUGCUAUGAGAGAAGCGUCGAGAAGCUAAGGUAAAGUAUCAAAAAGGUUUCGUUUAGGCCAAGCCGAUCACGAUCAGAUGAAAGGGAAGCCGUGUGUGUUGUUACAAUUUCUUUCUAUACCAUGCAAAAGAUGUAUUCAAUUCCUAACUUACAGUAUAGUUUGAGUUAGCCGUUGCUGCUUUUUCUGCUAGAGCUCCUUUUCGUUUCAAAGUCUUAGAAUCGACAAGUUUUCACCAGCUUACUGAGUUAUUAGAGUUAACGCCAGAGUUAUUAGAGUGUUUGCGAGCCAUUGUAUAGAAACACGUAGAAACACGGGUCAUUACAGAUCUAUUCUGAAAUAAUGUAUGUUCCAGAUCUAUUCAGAAAUUCCAUUCAACCAGAAAGCGCUUCCGCAAGUAAAGUUCCUGUUCGAAAGUCAGCAAACGAUUCAUCAAGUAGAGGUCGGGCAAGACGAACAAGUGGUGGGAGUGUAGUUCGGGCAAGUUCCAUGUAGGGUUUGACUGGUUUACUCAGAACAACAAUACUUUGUUGAGAGAGAGGUGAAUCGACAAGAGAAUCCGCAGCAAGCUUAGAAGAAAGGUUCAAGCGCAAGUCCUAUUAUCUUUCGGGAGCUCACACAGCAUCAUAUCUGACUUUAGCCUAAAAUCCUUAUUGAGUGUCGAGCGCAGAAGAAGAACCUAUCUCGGCGUCAACUAAAACUUAUUCCACCUUUUAUCUAUCAUUGCCAACUAACAAGCAAGGGAAGGAGCUACUGCAGGACAAUAUGCCAAUUCCUCAUCACCCAUAGGAAAUGACUAGAAAUAUCCGUUUCAGCGUUAACCGACAGUUGGACCACUACCCGGGCCGGGCCCUCAUUCUGUACACCACCUAGCUUAUUGAGUUUGCACAUAUAGAAUAGUGUUUUGAGUUGGCACAGAUAGAAUAGGGCUUGUUCCACUAUCUGCUCUCGAGUCUAAUCCAGUUUAUGCUUUUGGAGAAAUAGAGGGAUCACCCCCUUUUUACCUUAAUAAGAGGCCAAACCUUGAGAAAUGGGGAAAGCAUCAUCCCUUUGAAGCCUUAAUUCGUGGGUAGCUUCCGGUCUAUAGAUUUGUAUAGUAGCGGUCGUUUUCUAGGAAAAGGUAGUGGGCUAUAUAUAUACUAUCUUUCUUAGUAGUACCAUCUUCAGUACGGGCUGGCUUAGGAAGUACCUUUAUAUUGUGAGCAGGCACAGUUCAAGUCAAGUGUUUCAAUUCUAAGAAAAUCCUAUACUAUCUAUCAUUAGUAAGCUUUGAAUGGGGGGAAAGGAAAGGAAAGAGGAAAGGUACUGCUAUUCAUCCCUAGAUUGAGAAAAUGAUGCCUGCUAUAAGUAUAGAUAAAGCAGAAGAAAUCCUAUAUGGGACAAACUCUGUAUCGCCUAGUAAAUGUGCUUAUCGAGAAUUAUGGAGUUGGUUGGAAGGAGUUGGAAAGCAGCUAUCUGCGCCCUUCCUCGUUUCUGGGUGCCUCCGCCCUUAUUCGCACUUCCGCCUCUUUCUUUCUCUUUAGAAUAUAAGGAAAUGCCUCGGGUAGGAAAACCAGAAUCAAGAGAGAACCUUUCAAUAGACUAAGAAAGAGAUGGUCGGCAGAUCUGACUCAUAAAGAGUUGUAAUGUUCCGGGGUCUCGCUAACCAACUCUGGUCCAGUAGCCAUUCUUAGUGGAGCAACGGAUAUAAGAAGAAGAGCAGCAAUCACUAACCUAUGAAAAAACAGCAAAGACGGCUUUCAUUGAUGGAAGUCAGUUAGAUAGCGGUCCUUUCCCUACGUGAUAGGAGACCAAUACAGCGAGGUCGCAGCGGGCUUACUCCUUUGUUAACCUGAAUCGGCCAUUGUCUUUUCCCCAGGUGGUAAAUAACUGACUUAGACUAUAGCGACCCUCAGAUCAGAAGAAAGAACAACUUCUCAAGAAAAGGAGGAGGAGCACACCAACUCUCAGAAGAAUUCCUGGCCUUGUUACAACAAUACGCUUCAAAUACUCCAUUAAUUAGGAAUUGGGCCAAAGACGAAAACAAACCUUCGAUUGGCUAAGAGAAGAUAAGUUCUAGGCUACGAGGUUAUUUACCCAAGAAAUAACGGUGAAUCUUGCUUCAUCGACUUUCCGCUUAGGAAGUAUUCUAUUUGGCCCCGAGUCCAUUGGCUUCAGUCGUGUCAAUGUCGGUGAUAUGGAGUUCAUUCCUUCCACUCAUUAUAGCCGGUAAGAGAAUCAAUUCAGAUUGCCUGCCCGGGAGUAGAAAGGGCAAUAGUGGGUGUAGAAGGAGCUCCCUGGCGCGGUUCCAUUCCUUAACUAUGGAAUUGGUGUAGUAUGUCGCUUUAAAGGCCUUCAAUCAAAGCUUUGUUCACUGCCUCGGAUGAGUAUUGACAUCAAAGUGUUCCUAACAGCCCUUUUCUAAAUAAUCAAUCAAGUUAUCGCUUUCUGCUAAUGGAAUAUAAUCCGUUGACUUGCAGGAGGAUUUCUCAAGUGCAUUUGAAAGCCCAUCUCUUGGAAGUUCUCUUGGUAGUAUAAUUGGAUCCCGUGCUAUUAGUAUCUCUGUAAGCCUUCGAUCCAGUUGUGUCUGAGCGAGGUAAAUGUAUCUGGCCCAUUGCCUUAUGUUAUAAGAGCUUUCUCCCUUUCUUUUUCGUGUGCAUAGAUGGAGAAAUCACGUCUGUCAGGACAUUUCUUAGGUCUAUAACGCCCCUUCCAAAUAUCUAUAGUUGGGGUUGGUUGGAUUUGAAACUAAUUGUGGAAAUCUGCCUACAAGGCUUAAAUCAAGGCAUCUGCGGAGCAAUUCCUACUUGGCUUACUUGGUUUUUAGGUAACAAGUAACUACAAGCACGAAAGGGAUUGAGCGUUAUCGAAAGCCGUUGCGCUAAGGCGCUUUAGUUUUAUGGCAGGGUUAGGUAAGAGUGAAUCAGUGUAUAGCUUUCACCGGCCGAGUAUAGGAAGUCGUUCCAACGCGCACCGAGUGUUUUUCUUUCUAUUGAUUGAGACCUAGCCUCUGGGCACUGAACUGUGGCACAGAACCGCCUUUCUAGGUAUGGGACUCGGAGCUCUAAGCGUUGAUCACAUCGCUUUCAACCCAACCCCUCGGGCUAUCGUUGCGCUCGACCAGAGAUUCUUCCCCUGACAGCUAGUUGAGGGUAACUAAGCUCAUCUACUGCUUCUAUUAUUGCACAACCAAUGACAAGCAAAGGGUAACUAAGCUCAUCUACUGCUUCUAUUAUUGCACAACCAACGACAAGCAAAGGCCAGACCUGAGCUUUAUCUGAUCGUCCACACAUUUCUUAGCAGUUAUAUAACAUGCAAAUUCUCUUUUCUGAGAUAGCAUUAUUCCUCUUCCUUCGGUUCGCGCUGUAGUUCCGUUAGCCUUAUUCGUUUGCUUUGCGGAAACAGUUUCAACGACGGUUGACUGGAAGCAGUCUUUGGAUUAGAAGGAUGCGCAACUAGUAUUGUAUUGUCUUUCUUUUUGACUCGAAGGACGUUCAGGUUCAAGUUGGAAGUUCCGAUCCUCCCCACAUAGGGCUUUCUCUAUUUUCUCAAUAGGCGGCGCAAGGCCUAGCCAUCCUUGUUGGACCCGAAGGCACGAACCUCUGAGAAAGUAGUGCAACUGGACGAUCCUAGCCGAAGUUUCCACUCGAUCUUAAUCUUUUUCACUACAGCUAUUAGCAGGCCAAAACCCCAACGUCCCAAUCCAACCUUCGUAAAACACCCAGACCUGACAGGUAACUAACGAGAAGAGAGAUGGGAACUAAGUCUAGCUGACGAUAAAAGCCCGGGAAGACCUCUUGUCUACCAGGCGAGCGGGUUCAUUGUAAAGUCUAUACGCAUCUGGAUUGCCCUACGCCGGACGAGCGAACAACGGAAGGUCAACCGCCUUAACUUCAAGGAGGUUAGGCGUUCUUUCCACUUUGUUUCAAUCAACCUAAAGGAGUACUAUCGGUUGUUUAGUGAGUACCUUAAUCUUAGCUAGGGUUUCUUCUGGUUUAGGUGGAAUCUCGCUUCGCACCUUGCCUUUCCUUUCUCUUAUGUUUGAGUGCAGUUACAUGAUUGGGAUAACUAAGCUUACUACCCAGAGCUUUCACUUCUCGCGGUUCACCACCAAUAAGUCAAUGGUCAGUAGGCAAGUUAACCGCUUUUCUCCUGGAAGGGUUUUAGCGGGUACCCCAGUGAUACUAAGUCUACGUCGAUUCUUAUCCCACGAACAACAACUUAGACUUCUGCUUAUUUCACCUUAUGCUUCUUAGGAUUCUUACUCAUAUUCUGCUUCUCUUGCUUCUUCUCGUUAUAACCCUUCUUCAUCCGGGAGAAUACCUUCCUCUUAGGUAGUCCCAAACACAAUAGAAAGACUCUUCAGCGAAUCUCCUUCCAGGAAGUGCGAAAGCUUUCUACUAUUUCCUUAUCUCUUUAGCUCAGGAUCCUACUUCCCCGCUCCGCUCCUGAUGUAGGGGUUAACACAUAAGAGUUUAAUCAACCGGUUGCAAUGAAAAACCUUUGGAAUAGCUUCGAUUCCUUGACUUUUGGAAGUAAACUGUGAGAAAGCUUUGAAAUCAGACACUGGAUCCCGAGAGUAAGUCUUUUGCAUACCCGUCAAAGGUGGACAAUGCUUACUUACUCCUGUGCUUAAUUCAGUCCAUUAGCCUUUUUGCCAAUAAAUAGUCUAUUACUUCUUUCUUCAAAUGAAGGAAAAACUCUUACAUGCGGGUCUUUCACUGAAAUAUGUUGAAAUAUGGGAUUCCUAUGACUCUGGCUUCUUACCCCUGACUUCCCACUUUCUGAGGCCUUUCCACAUCAGGAUCAGGGUAAACCUUUAAGAAACGCUCAGGGUUCCACUAUUAAUAAACCCGCAUAGUAUAAGGGAUAUUGACUCGCAUAGUCAGGGAUAUGUACGUUAUAUAAUCAAUCUUUUGGAUAACUGUUUCUAUAUCAGCUACAAUGAACGGAUUCCUUUUAUUACUAUGUUAUUAGUGUGCUGGUAUAUGGUCGGGAUAACUACUAAGCUUACUACCCAGAGCUUUAACAUCUCGCGGUUGACCAGUGUGACCUCCAUAUAUGAAUUAGCAAGGCUCAUAAUUUCAUCGGAGCCAAAGAGGCAACUAUAUAGCUCGGCUAUCGUUACAACCGUACAUAUACACUUGAAUAAAGAUACCUGAUAACAAUGCUUGAUCGUCCAAUGUAGCUUUCACUCUGACUUGUUGUUCAAUCAUCAAAUAGAAUUCAUGUUAGGCACUAAAUGACCACUAGCAUCUUCCAAAGAAAUAGCACUACCUAAUGUAUAGGAAACAUCCCUAGUUUAGGUGUGUGUGUUUUCAUGUUCUAACCUAUAGUCAACUUAGCAUACUCGCACCCUGUAUUGUAAGCGUACUUAAUUCACUCAUGUUAUCACUUUCACAGUCAAUACAUCGUAGUCAAGGUUCUUUCAAUCUUACUGAAGCUAUUAACAAUCCUAAAUCAUUGGUGGAAUAUGGAAUUUCUCACGAAUUAUUAACUGCUCUAAACGCUGCCAAUAAGCAUUCAACAUAGAUUUCGAAUAUGAAACUGCGGUACUAGAAGAUCCAACGGAAGAGAAGAAUAGGCUGCUUUGCUUUCAUUUAUCUAGCAACCUCCUAUAAGUAAGUUCUUUUUUCAAUCAUAUCCUUAGUAGUGUACACUGUAGUUAACAUUCAGCCUAGGCUUGGAUUGGCCAGCCGGCGGAUAGUCACUAGCAUCUUCUAUCGAAUCCUCAAUCUUUUAGAUCUUUUUCGGGAUGGAAGAUUGGAGGUCUAGCUGGAUCUCUCUCCAAAGAAACAAUACUCAAGCUUGCCUCCGGGUGGCCUUGGCGAAUAGAAGUAGUUCCUGUAUGGGGUGGAGGGAAGAGGAGUCGACCAAUGAUACUUACGUCGAUGUCCAGGUAUGGUGGGAAGGACUGAGUGAUCUUCGUCUGGCCGAAAGAAGCGAGGUAGGCCGGCAGAGAGUGGGAAAUAUAGGCCAAGCUACCACUGAAGUAUUUGUAGCCAGAGCCGAGUAGAGGUAUAGUAUCUAGCUAACUCAGGUGCCGGUAUUUAAUAUAACUCCUAACUCAGGAUAAGUCCAUAAUACAUAAUAGCUAGUGCAUUCCUUUCUUACAGGAUAUACGAUCUAGUGCAUUCCUUUCUUACAGGAUAAGUCCAUAAUACAUAAUAGCUAGUGCAUUCCUUUCUGAAGUAUACGAUGUAGCUAAGUAAAGGUACGAUGAAGUGCAUUACACCUAAGUAUAUAUUAAGUAAAGGUACGAUGUACCGCAUCUAGUAUCAGAGCCAAAAGCCUUAGUUCAAUUAUGACUUGCUUCAUUCGGCUUGUAUACUAUGGAUGGAAACGACUUGUAUACUAUUGGCUCAUCUCAUCUAGAUUCUGAAUUGUUUUGAUCUGCAGCAGCUGUCGUUGACGGCUUCGUUGGUUUGGUUGCUACCAGUGAAGUUAAGGAAGCGAAAGCUCACAGAAGUAGAGAUCUGAAGCCCUACGGAAUCUUGACUUUAGCAUUUCCGCCCUACGGAAUCUUGACUUUAGCAUUUCCAAAUCCCCGUCUUACCAGGUAAAGUAAUGAAGUAAUGAGUUCGAUCGAAACUGGAGAGUUAAGGCUGUUAAAGUGAAUAUACUCAUAUGUAGAUGUAGUGCUUUUCAAAGCCGACUGAUAUUGAUAUAUAAGAGAGGCUGAAGCAACUGCCUGAGCCGUGGAUCCCGUCAUAGAAGAAAUGAGAUCGAACCUAUACUAACAAGCUGCAGUUAGGAAAAUAGCAUGCUCCCUUCGUUGGCUUCUGCUUUUCUAUCUGAAUUCUCUCUAAUAACGAUAACAGGUCUAGCUUCACUAACAGUAUUCACUGCUUUCCAGAUCUCUACACCUUUCUCAUCGGCAUUCGAGAGACAAGUGUUGUAGACUAGUUUCUUUCUGUUCGCCAAAAGGCCUUGUUGACGCCCCGGUGAGCCAAUACACUUGAUUUAUCGCUUCGGGAGCGCUGCCCGUGUGCGAGCUUAGCAACCCUAUUUAAUUGAAGCAAAUCCCUGUUUCAAUGUACAAAAAGCAGAAAUGAAAGACACUUACCUUCGUCUGGAAAAUAGAGAAUAGGGCCCAUCAUGACAUACACCUUUCUUUUCAACAAAAAGAUCUCCUUAAGCGUUGGGGGGACAACGGAUUCGAGGACCAUUAACUGAGCACUUCUUGUCUUGCAAAUGCUGGUAGAUCCGUGUUCAUUGUUCUUACCGUAGGGAAUCAUAAAUCGUCGCCCAGUCAACCUCCUGUCAAAUCAAGACCUUAAAGAGUCAUCUAUAUGGAACAACGGGAAACUCAUCUUACCGGGCGAAAGGGCACAUAAAAUACUAUUCUUUCUGUAGCUUCAGCAAAAGCAUUGGACAGCUGGUCUUGCCUGCCCCAAUCAAGAAAGAGAUAUCAGUCGGCCCACACUACUUACAUCUUCAAUAUAAUAAUUCCUUUUAGUUAGAGGUCAGGUCCGCUUAACAUCACUGAUGUAGACCUUAGCCUAUACAAAAUGAGAUUCUCCUCCCCACUAGAAACUCCCUUCUGCUUUCCCACUAGAAACUCCCUUCUGCUUUCUUUUGGAAUGGAUUGAAUCGGUUUUCACUGUAUGGAAUCGAAACGGACACUUCUAUGAUUGAAAAAGCAUGACUUUUGCAGCAAGGGUUCAUGGAGAUAUUGAGUUUUCCUAAAUAGAACUAGAAAGAGCCAAUAAGAAACCUAAACCCAUCUUGAUACUUUCCUAUAAACCGAACCGGGGAAAACUCGCUGAGGACAAGAUCAAUAGUAUAAUAAGGUCCAUGCCCUUCUUCUUGUUUGCCCGGUGUUUCUUUUAUGGUGAGUGAAUAGCCGGUCUUACUGAAUGCGUAAGCGCAGUGCCCUUCGGAACUCUAUUACCAAACCUGAUUCCCAGUAACCGACGCUAUUUCAUCCGGUGCUACUGCUUGAAUAUGAGUUGCCGCUGCAGAAGACAAGAUGGACGUCACCCCAGCUAUUGAAGAAGACAGUAGGAAUCUAACUCUACAAAUAGGAUUUCUCAUUGACGUUCCUUAGAAGAAGAGUAUCCGACAAUGCUAGGAAGAUGCCCAGAAUCGGUUGUUUGCAAAUAAGUUGUUGAAGGAAGUUUCUCACUAACCGGGGUCAGUGCUCUCGUCCGAGUACCCUGGGUUUCUUUAUUAAUGAAUACCUUCUCUUCCUGAAGCGGCGAACUCUUCUUUCACCCCAAAGAUAGUAAGUGCAAUACAAUACUAAAUACGCGGAGUCCUAGCACUAGGUUUUUCUUCAAUAGGUUAGCGCGAGCACAGGAUAAAGGAACAACACUUCGACGCUGGGUAAGGUAACACAACCUCUAUCUUUGGAAUCAAUAAAGGAAGAGCUACAGGCGAGGGAUUCUUCUCGGAAGGGGACAGGCUUUAAAUUGGAGGAGCUUCAAACUCUCAGGGAAUCUAUUACGUCUGUCAAGCCACUAAAACAGGACAGCCAGAAAUGUCUCAAUUACCGCCUUAGAUCUCCUGGACUUGCUCAUAACUCAGGUACCCGGGGGCUUGCUCAUAACUCGCCGCGCAACUACUAGUCAAGUUUUGGGGAAUCCAUCUUGCGGUUCGAGCACAGAGCUCCUAAGCGCCCAGCCCCCAAAGAAAGAGUAAUGCGUGUCAGAUUAUGGUUACUUAAUUACUUAUAGAAGUGGAAGAUGGUUUUUAUCUACACUAACAGCGCCCCGAGAGUAAGCUAACGCACAACUGAACAGAACAAUACGGUUUUGGAAGCUAAUCUUUGCUGUGUUGUUAUUCAAGUCUAUAUGUGGAUAGCUGAAUUCAAUAAGCAACGGCGAACUCACUUAUGUUCUUAGUAACCUACAGAGCGCUAAAGAACUGGAAUGCCCAACUCCACCACCUACUAGAAACUCCUAUACAGUGAAACCAGAUACAAGACAGGUUCUCACUAUUUAUUGUCUGUUACUACUUAUAGUUUCUUGGCGAGUAGUAGCUUGGUGGUUUCAAAAGACACUAUCUACUUCUCAAGCAUUAACAACUAAGUCGGGACUGUAGGAAGUAAAUCAUUCAUAUCAUCUAUCUAUCGCAUAAGAUCUUGGCGCAGAAGCUCAGUAUCCGUAUAGAAGGAAUUGAGGAGCUCACUGAUGCUGAAGACAGAAACCCAUAAGAAUCUAGGUAAACAUCUUGUCUCGCGCUUACCGCUUCUGAUCUCGUUGACUUAACAAGAACAUCAAUAUAUUCCAGUACAAAUGGCGCUUGAGCUUGAUGGUUCAUCUGCUCCAUAUUCUGAUCCUGCACUUUCACCGUGAACUCUAAACUCCCUUAGCAAUGAGAUUGAACUGAUUGAAACUGCAUUGCAUGUAUCACAGGAAUUGAAGAACCCUUAGAGCCCACUUGGGAACAAAGAAGGAAAUUGAGCCCAUCUAUUCCACUACGCACAACUGUCACUCUUUUAGACGAUGAAGACAGGCGAAUACAGCACUCGUUUUACCAGGCGAAUACAGCACUCGUUUUACCUGGAUUAACAACGUGUUUUAGGGCGUUACUACAAAUUCGGGUCUCUUCGAUCCACUCCUCUCGAAGUUAUGAAUUGGAAUAUCCAUCUUACGCUUCGCUCUAACAGUAUCUGGAUCUGCAGUAUCUGUCGUUAAAGGUAGUCAAAGGAUAUGCAUAUGGACGAGUAUGGGCAUAAGUAGCCACCGUCGGUUUAUGGGCAUCAUGAAAUGUUGUAGAUAGUGGUUCUUCUCUAAGGGGGUCAGGGUAUUACCAUGGAUAGUCAGGAUGUUUCAUUUGGUGAUCGUGAUAGGGAUUCAGAUCUUUAUAUAGUCCACUCUGUUGAUUCAGUAGAUCUGGCCGGUUGAACGCUUUCUAGCAGCACCAAAAGCUUCGGUAGUUGUAUGGGGUUUCAAGUGGAUAUGGCUGUUGGUUUAUGAAAUCCCGAUUUGAACAUCCAGAUGAGUGGGCAGAAAUACCUUACUUCUCUUCUCUGAUCCACUAUUGUCUUCUCCUCUCUAUGGAGCUCUCCCACUCUAACCCUAUCUAUCAUUGCUAAUAACUUGUUGAACCUUGGGAUAGAACCAUAUAGAUCAAUCACCUCAUACAUAACAUAGGAUGAGAUUACACAAGUAGCAGAGAAGGCACCUACCUUUAAGCCGGCUUGUAAGUGAAAGGUCUCGCUCGCUAUAAACCGAAACCUUGGUCGUUCCCGUAUCAUCGAAUUAAUAGCUUUGGUUUUGAUCUUGGUCUUCCCUUUCACCUUCGAAAUAUCGGAUUCGUCUAUACUUUUUAGCAGACGAGUCACAAAAAACCUACGGAUCUGUAGGCGUCGGAGCAAGCGGUUAAGGCCACGGGCAAGAAUAAGAUGACUCCCCGGAAUAGGAUGCUUAGAAUAGGGCAGCACUUAAGUGGAUAAGUGGAUACUCAACAUCUAUUUUCUGUCUCGUUCGCUACUUCAGGUCAACAUGACGCAAUUGGUGAAGUUUGAAUUAUGACUAUAGCAGCCACCUAUCUCAUCUCGGGGGGAAGGCCCCACUAGAAAUUGUGAAGAGGACCCGCUCGCGUCGCAUGCUCGAUCUAGCCCAAUUGGUUGGAUGAGCGGCAGAUCCCUUACUCCGGAAGGAAUCCAAAGUCAGUAAGUCUGGUUUCUAGUUUAGUCUAACACAGUGUCUUUGCUUUCUCCGUUCACGUCACGUUUGCAUUUGCAAAGAGGUCUAAUAAGUCUCCGUUUGUUUUCAGUGUAACCUACGGACAACCAAAGUCUAAGAGAGAAAGGGUAUGACGAGUGGAUUUUUACCCGAAUCUGUCUCCAAUUCAGCUAGGGUCUUUCUUUCUUCUUCACAGCCAGAAAGUGGCGAAGGCAAGAGGUAUAAUAGGUAUUUUGGCUGCCUGAUUGACUGCUUCCAAUUGAAAGGAGAGACUUGAGCUCGCUUUAAUGAAUAAGUCGGGAGAGGAGGGCCUCUUUGUUUUGUUACAACACUUAAGGACUUAGGGAUCCCUCAAAGGACUGGGUUCAGGCUAAACCAAGUCUUCGUCUACCCUUUAUCGAACCAGAUCCAUGCCUUGGGCUUGAGUCCCCGCUUCGGUAGGAGUGGCAUUAUACAUUUCGAAAUUCCUAAUUGGAUCAUACAGAGGUUGUGCUUAUUCAACGACCCCUUCUGGUUUUAGCUCUGACAAACUGCCCGGAUAGCUUACGCUUACAAUCUAGUACAGGUGGUUAGGUUGAAAGAAUCAAUGGCAAUAGAAUUCCUGCUCAGGUUCAAUGUUACUCGUUGGCACUUGUUGAUGCGCUACUACUAGCAGUUCCACUUUUGCAGCCCUUUGCAGUAGACUAGCCCUUGAGAAAGAGAUUCAAUAGCACCGGUAAAAGAGCUAGCUUUCUCUUUAAUUACUUCAUCCUUUCUAUAUCCCUCUCCUUUGUUCGAUGUUACUCAUCAAAUGGCAACUCCGUUCAUAUCUUCGAUCAUUUACAAGGUUCAAGAAAGGGGUGGGGAAAUCUUAGUUGAGGUAGCGCGCUUCUUGUUAGGCAGGAAAUGCACCACCUUUUUUUCUGUUAUUUGAAGACCACGCAGCGGUAUACAUUGCGGCAGGCAGACGGGUUCAUUAAGAAGUCAAUUUGAAGUCAAUGUAGGUGCGGGCCGGUGUCCAUCCCGACAUGGGAACAUUUCUUUUCUUUGUAAAUGUCCUUCCAUUUUGCCCUUGGUAGGGAAGGAAAAA
rnacentral:lncRNA from 1 species